rnacentral:lncRNA from 1 species
UUAAAUUCACCCAAUUUCCUUUUAGUCCCACCCCCAAAAAUUUCAUUUCCCACCCUCUCUUCAUCAACAAAUUUGAUGUCUUUGUUUUAUCUUUGAUUGUUCUUUUACCUCUUUGUCUCUUUUUCCCCUUUUCCUUUUAGCUCAUCUGGGCAUGGGGUUUUGAAUGAUUUUAUCACUUUUUUUUUAAGAAUCUUAAAGAGGAAGUUGAGUUGUAAUAGUGAAGAAAGAUUGGUUUUUUUUUUUGUUUUUUACCGUCAAUCUUUUGAUGAUGAUGAUGGGAUUAGUGGUGAAGAACAAGGAAGAGGAAGCUGCCCUUUUGACCAGAGAAAGACAUUAGAUAAAGCAAAGCAACAAUGAAAAGCAAAAGAAUGGGGAAGACAAAAUGUCCCCUUUGAUUGCCAUUCAAUGAAACACAAAAGGUGUGUUAUAAAAUAACAAAAAAAAAACCCUUCCUUCCCUUCUUCAUUAUCUUUCUUUUUGUGUGAAAAAAAAGGGUCUUUGUUUGUUUGUAGUGUUGUAUUUGCAAAAAGGGUAUUUCAAAAUGCCAAUGUAUCAACCAUCUAGUAGAAGGGAAGUUGAUAGUCAAGUUCUAGAUCUAGAAACAGCUGUUAAAGAUGGUGUUUUAGGUGGUGGUGGUGGUGGUGGUGGUGGUGGUGGUGGUGGUGGUUGUGGUGUAAUAGCCACUGGUUUUGGUUCAGAGAAAUUGGAUCUAAAGCUAAUGAUUGAAGAGCUUGAACCUAUGGAUGUACCAAUGGUGUUCAUAUGUCCAAUUUCUUUAGAACCAAUGCAUGAUCCUGUUACCCUUUGUACUGGUCAAACUUAUGAGAGAUCCAAUAUUCUUAAAUGGUUCUCUUUAGGUCAUUGUACUUGUCCUACCACUAUGCAAGAGCUUUGGGAUGAUUCAAUGACACCAAACAAGACACUUCAACAGUUGAUUCAUAGUUGGUUUUCUCAAAAGUAUUUGGCUAUGAAGAAAAGGUCAGAGGAUGUACAAGGAAGGGUUAAAGAGAUUUUGGAGAAUUUGAACAAAAUCAAGGGUCAAGCUAGAGUUCAAGCUUUAAAAGAGCUUAGACAAGUGGUUCAAGUUCAUGGGACGGCUAAGAAGACUGUUGUUGAAAAUGGAGGUAUUGGUUUGAUUUCAUCUUUGUUAGGGCCUUUUACAACUCAUGCUGUUGGUUGUGAGGUAAUUGGUGUACUUGUUAACUUGAACCUUGACUUGAAUUCUAUGUCUGAUUUGUUGCAACCAGCUAAAAUAUCUUUAAUGGUGGAUAUUCUAAAUGAAGGGUCUAUUGAGACUAAGAUAAAUUGUACUAGAUUGAUUGGAAUGUUGAUAGAAGGGACUGAUUUUGCUUCCCAAAAUGUUGCAAGUUUGAGUCUUUUAGUCGGAUUGUUAAGGCUAGUGAAAGACAAGAAGCAUCCAAAUGGUGUAGUAGCUGGUUUGAAUUUGCUUAAAACCAUUUGUUCGCAUGAACCUGUUAGGAACUCAUUUGUCAAUGUUGGGGCAGUUCCUCAAUUAGUUGAGUUGAUACCUGGUUUGAACAAUGAAUGUUUGGAAUUAGUCCUUCAUAUAUUGGAGCUUUUGUCAAGUACACCUGAAGGAAGAUUGGCUUUGAAAGAUUGUCCGAGUACUAUACCGAAUGUGGUGAAACUAUUAAUGAAAGCUUCGGAAAACUGUACUCAGCUCGCGUUAUCGAUAUUGUGGUCCAUUUGUAAGUUUGCACCAGAGGAAUGUGCUUCACUUGCUGUGGAUGCAGGUCUCGCCGCAAAGCUCCUUUUAGUUAUACAAAGUGGUUGCAAUCCCGUAUUGAAGCAACGAUCGGCCGAGUUGUUGAAACUAUGUAGUCUCAAUUACACAACUACGAUCUUCAUUUCCAAGUGUAAGCUUACAAGAACAAUUCAAUGAAGGGCAAAAUUUUGCAGCUUGUCGAUAUACACAUGACUUCCAUGACAAGUGGAGGGUGACAAGCUUUUCCGGGUUUGAAGAACUUGGAAUGGAAUCAAUCGGGGUUUCCGAGGUACCCUUUGCUCUCUUGUGUAUACUAAUGAAUUUUCACUAUAUAAAUUGUUUUCACAUGAGGUAGCAACAUAAUGAGGGGGGUUUUGAACUUACAGAAAAGUUGUGUUAGUUUACCAAAAUUCAAAAUCUCUUGUAUGUAAGCUCAAGUUUUCUGUUGAUAAAUUUCCAAUAAUUUUCCAACAAGGUCUGUGAUUCAAUCUAGUUUUAUGUCAAUGGUUGCUUUGUUGUUGUUCCAAUCUACAUGAAGAGAAAAUGCAAGUGUAAAACUCAUACAAAUGAAAAAGCUUAGAAGGGAUUCCUUUUAGCAAUUGUGUCACUUGUAAUUGUAGAGCUUCUUAGUUAAAAAUUAAAAUGUGUUGUAUUUACAUUCAAUGCACGGAUUUUAUGCAUUAUCAGUCAAUCAGUCAAUCAGAUGAUAUCUCGAAGUCUCCAACAUCGAACUAUACAUAAAAAAUGGAAGAAAUGAGAGUUAAAACAUAGUUUCUUCAACAUCAAUCAACCUACACGUGAUGAUCAUGUUGUUUUUAGAAUGAUAUUCAAUUUCCAAGAUGCUUUAAAAAUAUGUUGUAGGAGAUGAUGACUACAUAGAAACAAAAAUAGAAUGAUUAGUUUCAAGUUUCAAAGACUUGAUGAGGUACUUGGGUUCCCCCUUUUUGUUGUCAUGAAUGCAUUGUUUCUCACACUCCUUAAAAGUUAAACUCGAUACUUGGUCCCUCAUGCACUCAAGGGAUUAUCUUUUGCCCCACAAUGUCACGUAGCCGAUAGUAUAAUGUUUUGUAUAGUUGUGCAAAUUGGUCGAGUGGCAAAGUCAUUGCAGAUUAGUUGUAGCCAUGAAGUGUUCUAUGUGGUUUGGUGGUCUUAGCUAGGGUGCAUGGUGGACUCUAUAGAUCAACUAAGACAAGGUCUAUGAAGGGUCGUCUGCGGACCAUUCCAUACGAAAGGUUGCUUAUGGACCAUUCCAUGCGAAGGGUCAUCCGCGGACUGUUCAAUAGCUUAUCACGUGUCAUGUUCUGGUGUAGGUCUAACAAAACCGAUCGAUCAAAAUGGUUCUCGCGCUUAUGUGAAACGACAAAGGGUUGAAUCUUAGAUAAUGAUGAUUCAUUGUCAUUCAAUAACGAAAAGCAUAGGUAGCUUAUAGUGGUACGUAAAUAACAUGGGGGGCACGUAGAAAUCCCAUGUGAACAAGCAAUUAAGGCUAAAUUCCAAGGUGAUGGAUAGUGAGAGCCAAAUAGCAUGAACGUGUCCCAUAUGAAUUAGCCGCCCGGCCCGACGGCCCGCCCGAAAUAUGGGAGGGUUCGGGUAAAAAUAUAGGCCUGGAAUAUGGGCUUGGGCAAAAAAAUGAGGCCCGUUUAAAAAUGGGCCGGGCUCGGGUUCAACUUUUUUGGUCCGAGUCCAGCCCGACCCGGCCCGGCCCGAAUAUAAUAAAUAUUUAUUUUUUAUUUUUAUUUUUAAAUUUUAAAAAUAUUUUUUUAUUUUUUAUUUUUAAAAUAUUUUUUUGUGUUUAUUAAAAAUCGGACCGGGCCGGGCUCGGGCUUAUUUUUUUUGGGCCGGGCCUGGGCAAGAUUUUAGGCUCAUAUUUUGGUCCGGACCGGGCCCGGGCCUAAGAGUCGGGCCGAAACUUUUUCCGGGCUCAGCCCGGCCCGGCCCAUGGGCAGGUCUAAUUAGCAAGGACCAUCCUGCAAGUUGCAAAAGUCUAUCUUGUCUAAACAAGAAAGGCAAGUGUUGAAAAAAAAAAGGAUUAGAUUGGUUAAUAGAAUUGAUUGAAUCGAGAAUCGAUAAUAUGUUUAAUUUAGUAUAUAUCAUCAAACCAUUUUAUUUUUAAAUCGGCUAAAAGCUCGAAAAAAAAAUUUGGUUGAAACUUCACAAAAUCUAUAAAAUCAAAUGAAAAAAAAAAUUGAACCAACCCCAAAUAAGCUCGAAAUAAAAUUUUAGUGGUGAAAAAGAAUGUACUACUUUGGUAAAUAAAAUUGGUUGAAUUGAAAAUUAGUAUCACAUCAGUAUAUUUAUAUAAAUUAGUAUCACGAGUCAAUUAAAUAUCAACUUAAUUCGAAAAUGAUUAAAAAUAUAUAUAUUUUUAUAAUUUAUAAUUUAUAAUUUAACAAAUAUUACUAUAAAAGUGUUAUAUAAAAUUUAUGCAAAUAAAUCGAAAGCUCAAAUCAAUAAAAUUAAUAAAAAAAAAUUAGUUUAUGAGAUGGACGACUAAAUCUUAUCCUACUAGAAAAGCAAUGUUGAAAAAGGUUGGACGAAAACAACCAUAAAUAAAUAAUUUUAACAGUGUUAGCUGUUCGACUUAAAUUUUAAAAUGUAAAAACUUUUAAAGAUAAAGGUAUAAGAACUAAAUUUCAAAUUUACAAAAAGUACACGGGCUUAUGUCAUAUUUUAACCUAUGCAAAAUUGUAAGAACUUCAACAAUCUAUCAACUACAUUAUUUAAUAGUAGAGAAAUUAUUUGGUACGUUGUCAGUGAAAUUUUUAGACUCCACAAGUAAGGUCAAGGGUUGACAAGUGUCCUAUAGGGAUAUAGCAAAGUAUUAAAAAAAUAAAUAUUAUAAAAAAAGAGAUACAUGUCAAUUUUUUAAGGCUGCUUAUGGAAUAGAGAAAGCGCGUUGCCAAUGUACCAAAUACCAAAAUGAAAUUUAUAUGUUAUGAAAUUUGAAAUUUUAAUUACGACUUAGGUAGCGAUUAAAUUCGUUAACUAGAAUGAGAGGGUUGUUUUUUUGUUAAUAUUAUGUAAAAAUAAUAAGGUGAUGGUUUUAUAUUACAUAUAUUAUAAUAUGUUUACCGUAUAAAAUUUUGGAAAUGACAUAAUUUAACUUAAACAAAUUUAAUGUUACCCUUGUGUGGCCAAUAUUGAAAUUUCAUAAUUCAAUUAAAAAAUAACAAAAAAAAACCAAAUUAGAGCAUAUUUAUUAAAUUCACAACAUACGCAUAGUAUAGUGACUAAUAAUAGAAUUUGACAUUAUCAGACAAUUUUUUGAAACCUAUUAGUUGACUAUAUUAGUUUCGGCUAGUUUGAGUGGUUAACUAAAUUAAUCGAAAUUUUUAAAUGUGUUUUUCAAAUAAAUUUAAAACAUAAAAAAAAUUCAUUGACAAUUUUUUUUAAUUCAAAAAAGUUUAAAAGAAAUAAUAAAAAGAUCAACAAAUAACACAAUAACAAUACUAAAUUAAAAACAUUAAUUUUUACUUUUCUUUGUUUAAUUUUUUUUUUCGUUUUUGUUGAAAUUUUUAGUUUAAUUUUAAAAUUUUUCCUAAAUAUAUUUAGUUUUCAUAAUAUAUUUUUAAGCCCAAUAUUUAUAAGUCCAUUAAUUUUUAUAAUGUAUUGGACUUAUCUAUAGUAUAUUAUUAUUAAUCUCGAUUAAUUAUUCGAUUUCGAAUUGAAUUAACGGAUAAUUAAAAAUUUUAAAAGCUUUUAACCGACCUCAAUCGAAUUAAAUUUGGUGGCCAACCGAUUAAUUAAAUUAAUUCGAUUUGAUGGAUUAAUUUGAUUAAAACUAAAAAAUAUACACAUAUCAUUCCCACAAUUUCAUUUAGGGGUAUAAUGCCAGCAAUAUAUGCAAGAGUUGAAAGUUUGAGCAAUCUCUCUAAUACGCCCCCAAUUCCAAUUUUCCUCAUUGUUGGUCCUUUUUUCCACCAUAACAUCAUUGCCACCCUGCAUGUUGCCACUAUUAUAAGGUCGCAAUGAGCCUAAUUCGGGUAUUAUAUGUCAUCCUAAAUCUAGUUCUUGUUGCGUUACCUAUUGAUUAAUAAAUACUUUCUUUCAAUUGAUCAUAUAUCUUCGUAAGUAGGUGAAAAAAUCAGUUACUUUGCCUCUUAAAUCAAAUUGUUUGUCUAAACACGUGUUCCGACAAGAGAUUAAACAAACAACCAAAAAAAAAGAAAAAAAAAGAAGGAGAAAUCUGCACACAAUCGUUUCUUAAUGUAGUUGUUCAAUAAAUGAUUUCAUUUCACAAAUGAUUCAACCACUUAUUGUCUAAAAUCUAAUAUUCCCAUAUAAAAGUAAUUGCAGUCCUAAUAACUAGUCUCAACUUGUUAUAAUUGUUCACCCAAUAUCUAACUUACAAAGGUGCAAAAAUACAAAAGAAAAUAACAAAGAUAAACUUAAUUAAAUUACCAUAGCAUUCUCUUAACCAAUGCAUCUUCACAUAUGUAUUAGCUGCCUAUUUAUAAGCUUACAAUGACAGCCUAUCCGAUCAGCAUACUCCAAGAUAAACUCUCCUUCAAUAUGAUAAUUAAAAUAAAUAGCAUUUAAUCUUAUCUCAAAAUAAAGUAAACUUUAUCUCGUGGUUAGAUCAAAAACCCAUUUAUAGUAGAAAUUAUAGAUUUUGGACUCUCAUUUAUCGAAGAAUAAAUUGUGAUUUAUUGGUCGGGUGAAUUGACAAUUAUAGUAAAGUCAAAAAAAAAUCAAAGUCUAAACAAAAGAGAUUCAACCAUAUAUAAUUGAUUGCUCCACUCUAAUGAAAUUCAAAAAAGUUCAAAAGGAAAAAGGGCAGAAGAGAUAAUAAAGAAGCAUGUCAUGGUUAGCUCGGUCACUAGCGAACUCGUUUCUUCUUAACGAAGAAGAUGAUAAUGAAUCAGCUUCUUCAGUAGAUGAAGAAAACGACGUUGCAACGCGCCAGUCUCAAUCAUCCUCCCUUCCUCUUAGGCAAAGCCUUGAACUCGAAGAAACCCAGUCGCUACAACAACAUUCAUUGUCCCCUCAACAAAUAGCUGAGCAUCAAUCGCGUGGUGUCAAAGAAGACCUAACCGAGCUUAAACAAACCCUAACGCGUCAACUCUGGGGAGUCGCUUCCUUUCUUGCUCCUCCUCCUUCUCCUCGGACCCAAUCCGAUUGCCUAUUAGAUGAUGUAUCGUUCUCUAAUUUGAAUCGAGUUGAACCGUCUGGUUCUGUGGCGUUUGAGGGGGCUGAGAUCGGGGGAAGGUUGUUGAAGAUGGCGGCGGCGGAGGAUUUUCCGUUUGGAUCCGGGGAAAAUGAGGAAGAAAACGGGAGGGAAAAUGAAAAUGAAGAUGAGGAGGUGGAUCAGGUGUUCAAUGCGGUUGGGUUAACGGAUGAGGUGUUGACAUUUGCGAGGAACAUCGCGCAUCAUCCAGAAACGUGGUUGGAUUUCCCUCUUGAUCCCGAUGAGGACUUAGAUGGUAAUUUCCUGAUUAGUCUGACCUCAUUCCAUACUCUGACAUGCAAUUUUUCUAUUGAUUUUCUGUUUUUUAAGGCUCAAGAGCUCAACGAAUCACCAAAAAUUGUUAAUUUUGUUUGAAUUUCAAUUAAAUACGGGAUGGUUUUAGGGUUCUACACCUUUAUGUUAAAAUGCCAGAUUGAUGCCACCUUUAUUUUCCUAGGCCAUUAUGUAAGCUAAAUAUUUCUAUUGUUGAAGCAUUGAAGGGCAUUAAAUAAAGAAGUUCAGUAUCAUGAAAGUAAAUGUAAUUAAUCUGCUGAGAACUAGUGAAAUUUAAUUGACUGGGCUGAAAACUUAUUUCCAAUGUUUGUGAAAUUCGAUCAAGUGCCACCUUCUUUGCUUAAAUUUUCAAGCUUUAUAUUAUCUUUGCAUCUUGCUUGAUCUGUAUGGUUUUUCAUGUAUUCUUUGCUUCUUUGGCUAGUACUUUUGAUUUAUAAACUUCAAUUUUGAUCAUAAUUUCUGGGAUUUCAUUUUUUAUUGUUUUUGUGUUUUACGAAGAAUCAAUUCACGCAAAUCGCAAUCAGAGUUUGCGCGCUUAUCUGAUUUUCCUCCAUUGUUUUCCUUGUUUUAGAUUUUGACAUGUCGGUUGCACAACAAGAGCAUACUAUGGCCAUUGAACAUCUUGCUCCCAGACUAGCAGCUCUUAGAUUCGAACUUUGCCCUUGCCAUAUCAAUGACGGUUACUUUUGGAAAGUUUAUUUUGUUCUUCUACAUUCAAGACUUAACAAGCAUGACGCAGAGGUUCUAUCUACACCUCAGGUCAGUUGCUUUUCAUAGAAUCGAUAUCAUCGGGCACCAAAUUAUCGUUUUUACUUACAUUUUGGUUCUUUUGGCCCCUUAUCCAUCACUCUUCCUUUUUCAUUGUUUUAUUUUUCUUGGCUGUGGUUGUACAUUUUUAAAAUUUAAACUUUAUUUGGUGUAGUUAUAUUCUGUAAAUAUUGGAACAAGAAUUAUUGGGUAAAAGUACCAUAGAGGGCCCUGUACUAGGAGCCAGAUUGCAUUUUGCCCCCUCUACUAAAAAAAUUUGCAAAUUAGUCUUUUUACAUUAAAUCAAAGAGUAAAUUAGUCCUUUCUGUUAAAAAUUUCAUCUAUUUGUACUGUUAAGAACUGAUGUGAAUGACAGAAUAACCAAACAGUGACAUCUGGUGUGCCAAAUGUACGUCAUGCUGAAGUACGCAAACCAAAAUUUAACUGUAUAAAUGGAUGGAAUUUUUAACAAAAUGAAUAAUUUGCUCUUUGAUCUAAGGUGUAAGGAUUAAUUUGCCCAUUUUGUGAGUAUAAGGGGCAAAAUGCAAUUUGACUUUUACUACAAGAGCCACUAUAGUACUUUUACCAAAAUGUUGCAAAGUCUGAUAGUCAAUUGAUAGCAGAUUCCCUUGCAUUCUCGGCAUUCAAACAAGAAAUCCACCUUUUGCACCUGCACUCUAGCUAAUCUUCUCCCUUGGGUUCACAAUUAUCAUUUCCAUUUGCAUGAUAGGUAAUAUAUUCAUGUGUUUACAACGACUGGAAAGUCUGUAGCACAUUUGUGUGUCUGUAUAAACCGCAACCUUCUUUGCUUGGUUUCAGUGUGCUGAAUAUGUCGGACAAGAGUUUCUUCCUGUACUUGUUUUCUUCUUUUUAAAUUAUUCUCUCCAUCCAUUCAAGAAAGUUACGGUUAGGAGUCCAUUUUCAAAAUUGGUUUUCCUUGGAUUCUUCAUGAAUUUUUAGCUUAAGUUUUUUACGUAUGCCCUGAAAGGAGUAGACUUGGAUGAUUCUUGAUUCUCUUUAUGCCAUGGCUGCUAGGGAUGAGAAGCUCGGUUCAAUAACAUUUCAUAUUGUUUCAUAAAAGUGAUGGUUUUGGACAAAAGUAAAAUGGAUGCCCUGUACUAGGAGUUAGCUUGCAUUUUGCCCCCUUUACUUAAAAAAUGGGCAAAUUAAUCCUUAUACGUUAGAUUAAAAAGCAAAUUGAUCCUUUCAGUUAAAUUUUCAUUCUUUUCUACCAUUAAAACCGGCUUGGCUGACAGCAUGACUUGACAGUUACACGUGCCGUGCCACAUGUACCUCAUUUUGACAUACAGGGAUCAAUUUUUAACAGUAAAAAUAGAUGGAACUUUUAACAGAAAAACUAGUUUGCUUUUUAUCCAACUUACAGUGACUAAUUUGUCUAUUUCUUUUAGUAGAGGGGGCAAGAUGCAAUUUGUUUCCUAGUAAAGGCCUCCACGGUACUUUUACUGAUAGUAUUGUUUUACUAGAGAUCUGAUCUAGAUUCUUUGUCCACUUUUUAUGUCCUUUUCUUUACCAAGCAUAUGUAGACAAUAUCAUUGAUUAAUUCUCUAGGUGGCUAAUCUAUUUCCGGCAGGUGAUGGAAGCCAGAACAUUGUGGAUGAAGGAGCUACAAAAGCAAACGAAGCGAGAAACUGAUUGGUACCGAAGAAGCACUUCCCACAUAGGAGGCAGCUCUAGUACUUUGCACAAUGAUCUUAUUCCUUCCUCAUCCAGUUAUUUUGCCUUCGAGACCACAUCACCUAGGACCUAUACUUCUGAACCUACAUCCAGUAUCACAACAGAUUAUGAGGAAAAGCAUCCACUCGAAAGUACCGAGAUGCCAGUCAUAGAUAAGUCUGUUAUCGAGGAACAUCCGGUGUCUAGCACUGAGGAUAAGGCAUCCUCAAAAAUAACAAUUCCAACUUUUGAAGAUGAUGAUAUUGAUUGGCCAGAAGAUGAUGAUUCCGAAUACGGUGGUUAUGGUGGAGCUACGAUUUGUGUGGAGAACGAAGAAGAUAUUUCUUUCAGCGAUCUCGAGGAUGUAGAUUAUAGUAUCACCCCCACAAAAUCAAAGAUGGUUUCAAAAGGAUUUGAAACUUCUAAAACAUAAGCCCGUUAUAUGGUUCAGUUAGGCAUAAGAUCCACUGGUCGGGCCGAGUAUAGAAACCGACAGCAACGUUUAUGCAGGGGCAACGGUGGCAGGUGCUGAAGUUGAGUGAUCAAUCAAAGUGAUAAAUAGAGUGAUAUUUUGUCUCGGUUUUCUUUGAUUUUGUACAGAAAAUCUGUAUUUAAAAAGUUUCCUCCUUAGAACAUGAGGUUUGCCACUUUGCCCAAUAGAUAUAGGAUAUAUGCAUUUUUUUUAAUUUUUUGCUAAAUUUUAUGGAAUGAUUUGAUAACAUGAUUAAUGAGAUUCAAUUUUGAUUUUUUUAAAAUAUUUAUAGUGGAUUGGUAAAUUGUCAUACAGAUUUUUGUACUAAGAGUUGGAUUACAAUUUACAUCUUCUACUCAAAAAAUGAGUAAAUUAGUAAUUGUUAGUUAAAUCAAAGAAUAAACUAGUUUUAUUAAAAAAUUCAUCAAUUUUUACUGUUAAAAAUUGGUUUUAUACAUAAGGGUGAGUAUUUGAUCUAAUUGAGUGAAAUUGUUAGGGGUAAAUUAAAAAAUUGAAAUGUCAAAUUAAGAUAUUUUAGUUUGAUAAAUUUGAAUCAUUAAUUAAGCCCUAAAAUUAUUAUUUUAAAGUUUUUUUUUAAGUUUUAACCUAUUUAUAUAUUCUUUAGAUUUUUUUUAAAAAAUUUUAAAAAUAUAAAUUUUGGAUUUUUUGAAUACUUUUUAAUUUUAAAAAUUAUUUUAAUUUUUCUUGAGCGAGAGAUUAAUUUGUUUAUUUUCAAAAUUGACAUGGACCAAAAGGGUAUUUAUAUCAACUUGUCAUUCGAAUUAUUCGAAUUAUAAAAUUCAACUCAACUCAAACUCAAAACUCGAAUUACUUAUUCGAGUUGACUUAAAAAAUCGAAUAACUCGAUUCAAUUAACUCGAAAUUCAAAUUGUUUUUUGCUUUGUUCUCGAAUCGAAUCAAGUUUUGCUCGCCCCUACUUAUACAUCAGCAUGAGGUACAUGUGGCAACCACGUGUAACUGUCUAGUUAUUCCGUGAAUCACAUCAAUUUUAAAAAUUUUAACAAAAAUGAUUCGUUUGCUAUUUAAUCCAACAUACAAAAAUUAGUUUAUCUAAUUUUUUUAAUGAAAAUAAAAUAAAAUAUAAUCUAAUUCUUAUUACGGGUAACUCUAUAAUAAAUUUUACCGUGUAUAUAGGAUAUGACUUGUUGUUUACGUUAUCACUAAUAAUUGAAUAAAAAAUUGUCGUGAAAGAUGGAGUCUUUAACUUACUUCCAUCUCUUAAUUCUAAUAAUAUACAUUAUCUAAUUUGUUUAUGUAAGGAUGGAUUGUUAGAUUUCGUGUAAAAUUGGUGCAAACAAAACUUAUGAUCUAUUCCUUAGAUUUUUUUUUAUUUCUCAAGGUAUCUACCGGAACAAGCCCAAUAACUAAUUUUCUACAUUCUGUAAUAUCCUCGACUAUUGGUUAAGGUAGGAAAUAUCAUUGUCAAUCCACUUAAUUUUUGUGGUUUUGUAGAUUAUUAAUUUAAUCUUUAUAUUUUUAAUAUGGUCAAAUUUAUUCAUUGUAUUUUUCAAAAUGAUAACUUUUAGUCAUGUACUAUGUAUAAGAAAUCGAUUUGAUCCAUGUUCUCUGUUUUAAUAGUUUUUAGUCCUCAUACUUUUUAAAUUAUGAAAUUUAAGUUUAUUUUAAAGUGUCAUAAAUACAAUUAAAGUUUAAAUACAAAUAUAAGUCCGAAGAACCCCAAGUAUCAAAUUAUAGCAUGGACUGAUUGAGGAAUUAUAAAGUAGAAUCAAAUCAUUAUAGCAUAAUCGAAAUAAGAAUUGAUACAAUCCAAACUAAAGUUAACAAACUAGACUAAAACCCACAUAUGAUAACUACACAUAAUGAGACUCAAAGACCCACACGAGUAACUGCAUAUGGUGAACCAUGAACUUAGGUAUUCAGUACGCAAACUAAAUUCAUAACUUUCUUUAUUCGUUUGGGUAGUUGAUAGAGACCAUUCCCCACCGUGCCUCUAAGUGGUUAUUGGUACGUAGUAUAGCCGGCCUUCUUUGAAAUAUAAAGGUUUUGAUACUCUAACUUUAUUUAUUUUUUAGUUUUUUUUAGUCCUUAAACUUGUAUUCUUUUAUCAAAUCACCCUAAAAUGGAUAAAAAUAAUUAAUGUUUGUUAACUUUGCUGACAUGGCAUACACAUGAAUUGACACGUGGAUUACAUGGCAACAUUUAAUUAAUUUUUUAAAAUAUAAAAAUAUUAAAAAAUAUUUUUAUAAUUUUUUGAAUUUUUGAAAUUUUAAAAAAUUAAAAGAUUAAUUAAAUGAUGAUGUGUCAUUCACGUGUGUCAGCAAAAUUAAAUGACGGUAAUUUUUUCAUCCAUUUUUGAGUGAUUUGACAAAAAAUACAAGUUUAAGGGUUAAAAAAUUAGAAAAGUUAGAGGUCUAAAAUGACUUUUCUAUAAAAUUAGAGGGUAAAAAAUGUCAUUAUUCCAAAUAUAAACAUACACCUAACAAAAGAAGGAUAAAUUAUAAUUUCGGUCCUUUUAACAUGCUCAAAUUCAAAAUUUGUCUUUAUACUCUUUUUUGGUACAAUAAAGAUUCAAAUAUAAAAGAUAGGCAAAUUAGUCUCUAUAAAUUAGAUCAAAAAGUAAACAGGUUAUUUUGUUAAAAAUUUCAUCUAUUUUUACAAUUAAAAAAUAGUCUCUAUAUGUUAGCAUAAGGUACAAAUAGCAUGUUGCGCGUCAUUGUCGGUUUAUUCCGUUAGACAUAUUAAUUUUUAAUUUAACGUAUAAAGACUAAUUUACUUAUUUAUUAAGUAAAAAAAAUAAAAUGAAAUCUAAAUUCUAUUAUAGAAUCUUACACGAAAGAUUUACCAUGGGUUGUUACAUGAUAUUAUCUAUACUAAUAAAGGCAAUGCUCUGAUACAGCGUCGUUUAAUAAAUAACGACAAGACACCCCGCCUCCUUGGAAAAAUCAAAGCAGAGAAAAGAGAUUCUCUGGACCUAAAUUUCGGUAUUUUAUUUAUCAAUUUGAUAUUUUUUUCUUCAUUUCUGCAACCAGGUUCGUUUCUCAUUAUCGUUACUGCAAAUCCAAUAGUAAUUAUCGUAAUUCAACACCAAAACUAAAAAAAAAAAAACCUUUUUAUCUAUACAACUGAUCUUUAAUUUCUCUUCUUCUUUUUUUUUCUGGGGUUAAUUUGCUUUUUUUUAGUCUUAUUUGAAAAAGCCUCAGGGUUUAAAAUUAUUGUAGCUCUGGGUUUCUUUUGGGGGUGUUCAUGGAUAUGGAAUUGGUGGAAAAGGCAUUGACUUUUUCACGUAGGAAGAAAAAAUGGCUUAUUUUGUUAGCUAUAUGUGGUGUUUCUGGUUAUGGGGUUUACAAGGUGUAUAAUUUACCUUCUUUGGUGAAGAAAAGGAAGAGACUUUUAAAGCUGUUUGGAGCUUUGGUUUCUUUAGCUGAAAUGGUCUCUGAAUCAGCGGAGACCAUUAAUAUUGUCUGUAAGGACUUAAGGGAGUUUUUACAAUCUGAAUCUGAUCAAAUUCCUAAUAGUUUGAAACAGAUUUCAAAGAUUGUGAGAUCAGAUGAGUUUUCCCAAUCUUUUAUUAGGGUUAAUGAGGGUUUAACAAUUGGAGUCUUGAGAGGGUAUAAGUUAGAAUCAAGGAAUGAGAGUGAAUUAGGAAAGGGUAUUAUGGAGAAUUCUAGCUUGACUGAUAAGGUAUUGGAUAGGGUUUUUUCUAAUGCUGGGACUGGUUUUGUAUCUGUUGUUGUUGGUAGCUUUGCUAAAAAUCUAGUUAUGGGGUUUUAUUCAAGUGGUGGUGAAAUUGAUGGUGAGUCAUCUGAUGUGCCUAAAUGGGUUAAUUUGCUUUAUGAUGAUAAGUCUAAAGACUUAAUGGCUGAGUGUAUACAAAGAUUUGUAAGCACGGCUGUUGCGGUUUAUCUUGACAAGACGAUGGAUAUUAAUACUUAUGAUGAAAUGUUUGCUGGGAUGACCAAUCCGAAGCAUGAACACAAUGUGAGAGACAUUUUGGUUUCUGUUUGUAAUGGUGCUGUGGAAACGUUGGUGAGAACGUCGCAUCAAGUGCUGACAAAUUCGAGAUCGGAUACUUGUUCCAUUGUAGAACAGAGUGAGAACACCAAGGAAGAAGCAUCUUUAAAAGGAGUGAAAGAGGGCAAGGGGAACUCAUUUGAUAAGGUCUCGUCGACGUUGGCAGUUCCUAGCAAUAGGAAGUUUGUGGUUGAUGUGACUGGGAGGGUGACUUUUGGAACGAUAAAAACCAUAAUGGAGUUUCUGGUAUGGAAGCUUUUAGAGGGUAUGAAAAGAAGCAUUCAUGUUGUUCGUGAUGAGGUUGUGGAAAGAGGACUUGAUGUUAUCAGAUAUGUCGGUGCAAAGUCUUCCAUAAUUGUCACCAUUUGUGUCUCGCUUUACUUACAUAUCGUUGGUGGUAGCAGGGUUCUCUUGCAGGCUUGAAUGGGUUUGUUCUCUCUUCUCAUGGAACUACAAUGAAAUCUUAAUAAAGUUGCCUUCAAUGUAUAUAUAUGUCUCUCCUGCAAAUAAAAUGUAUUAACUAGGGUCAUUUUAGCUUUAGGAAAAUACUGAAAUUCCUCCAAAUUUAUUGAAUUAUUCAAAUGUAUACUCGAUAUUCUUAUGCUGUAUGUAUACCACAAUUAUGGUAAUUGUUGUUCCACAAAAUUGAGUCAUUUAGAAAUCAAAGUUGCAGAGGAUGUUCACACUACUAUUAUGCUCUCAGUUAAAUUUCCAAUGCUUGUGCCAACUCUUUGACCAUUUUGAAUAGAAGUUUGUUCCAUUGAUCAUCACAUCACACUUUCAUGAACUGUGAUUUCUCUGAGUAGGAUGGGAUUUGCUUAUUACUGUACCUACUGCAGUCAGUUUCAGUCAAUGCCUUUCAAGAUAUUAAUUCCUAUGAGCAUCAUUUCUUGCCUAGGAAAGUUUUUGAUCAUGUUAUAUGAUUCUGAUGGAUUAUAUAUGAUGAUAGAUUGAUUAACAUUAUGACCUAUUGUAGAUGCUUGUUUUUGGUUACUAAUUGUUCUAUCAAUAGUAGCUUCGGGAAAUAUUGUUUCUUACAAGAGCACCUUUGGGAACGUCAUGUCGGGAACAACCUUGGAAGGUUGGCAGAAUUUCUAGGUUGUUCCACUUUUGGGAUGCCUUGGAGAGCUUGGUCUGGAAGCUCAGAUACAAAUAUGUUCUUAACCUUUCUUUGGAAUACAACUGCUUCCUCCUUAUUUCUUCAUUAAACAAAAUAUGCAUUUACACUCAAGACCUUUCUUGCUAAAAUAUUUUAACUAGGUGUAACUUUCAUGUACCCAUCCUUAUACCCAUUAUUCAUAUAACUUACCUUCCAUUAUCCACAUUCAAAUAACUUCUCCCACUUCCAUCACCCAUUAUUUUAGCAUGUUCAUUCCCACUUUAUUAUAAUUGUUCUUUAAUCAUUUCUUUCCAAGGCCUAUAAAUGCAGGCUUAAAAGUUUUAUUUCGGGACUUCUAAUCUUUUAGCAAACUUAGCACUUUAGAAUUUUCCCUGCAACUUUCUUUCUACAAUCACAACAACCAUCGUAGUGCUCACCUUUCUCAGCCUCUUAUUGCUUUCAUCACCACUCACUGCCACCGCACUUGUUUUCUAGAGUCUGCCCGAUCUUCCUCUCUGCCAUCUCUCCAUGACAUUUCAUUUUACUAGAUUGUAACUUUUUCUCGCCUUAUCAAAAGAACCCUUUACACCUAUCUUACUAACCCCAGCCUAUGAACCGAAGGGAUUUAUCCAUAACCAGUUGGUCUAGUCUACUUUUUCAGUUUGUACUUUUGCUUGUCGAUGCAAGCGUCUGUGCAUAUACAUAGAGCUUGCUUUGUCACGAACAAUUUAGUUGUUGAUGCAGUCACCUUUAAAACAUUACAUCCGACGGCUGUAGAAUCUGAAUAUGAUCGUUGUUGUUAAGUUGAUAAUGUUGAACCUCGGACUUGUGUGAUUGUGACAAUAAUCCAUAUUUAUGAUUCUGAGAAUCAUCAGUGCCUAUGUACUAUGCAGUCCAGAUAGUGGGGUAGGUCCUUGUAGGAAAUUUACUAGUGGCAUUUGCAAGUGCAACCCUACCUGCCAUUCAUUGAUAGAGCUGUGAAUCCAAUGACAUGAUCUUUAUGUUGAAACUUUUGGUCCCUGAAAAGACCAUGUACUUUCAUCUCUAGUCCCCCACUCACAUCCAAUUAUAACGUAAAGCUAAUUCUUCAACAACUGACACAGUAUAAAAUUAUUAAAAAUUUGUACCCUUUAGUUCAUAUAAAAAAAUGGUGGCUGUUUCUUUGCCAUUUAAAGAUGGUAUGUUCAUCUCUCUUAUGGUUGUUAAACAUGCAUUUAUCACAUUAUUAAAGGGUGUUGAAUUGUCAUAGCCAUUUUUGACCCUCAAGGUUGGCAUGUUGCCAAUUAUCUGGCAUGUGUUGGAACUUGCAAGAAAAUUCGUACGUUACAUGUGUGAAUUGUCUUGCAAAAAGGUCAUAAUUUUUUUUAUGUUAAUUCCAUUGUUGUUUAGUCACAGCUUUUUGACCAAUAUUAAGCGUAACCAAUUUUCUUUGUCUUCAUCUCCAUUUAAGAGAAUCUUCAUUGGCAACUUGGCUUAUGUGUUAUUCCUUUUCUCUCUUCUUUUUCCCAAUUGAAUGAUUUUUCAAACAUUUUCUAAGUUUGCAUCUACAAAGAAAUGGAUCAUCUGGGGUUCACAUGCAUGAAAAAAAGAAGAAAAAGAAAGAACAAAACCAUAUAUAUAUGCCAUCUAUACAAUCAUAUGCCAACAUUAAUGGAAAUAUAUGUGAUUUUAUUUAUGGCUUUUGAUGCUACGAUUGAACCAAUAUUUUUCUCUCUUUUUUUCUUCCAUAACAAUUCAACUUCAUGGCUUGUGAUUCUGGGUAUAAAUAUAGUCCACAUGAGCAGCAAGGGUUCUUCUCAUCAAGCACUCCUCUUUGCCAAUUCCUUCACAGUUCUCAUCAGCAUCAACUUUCUCUGCCUCAACUCCCUGCAUGAACCAAAAACCAAUAUUAAUACACACAUAUGUAUAGGUAACCUUGUAAAAGAGAUCUACAAAGAAAUCUGAGGAUUAGAUUAGGUGAGACAUACCUCAUGUUGGGUUAAGGACAAAGUUGGCUCAGGCCUAGCAGCAUAGCUUAGCAUGAAAUUAAAAAGAAGGGCAGCUAUGAAAAGUGAACAAAGCUUAGACAUCUUUUUUUCUCUUGUUUUCUUGGUUUGAAGAGAGAAUUUUGAGAGGUGAUAUGAUUGAAGGUGAAACAAAAAUGGAUGAAUUUAUAGAGGAAAUAGAAGAGAAAGAAAGAUACUAUGUGAGUAGGUGGGGGUUGAAUUUGGGUGGACUUACAGAUAAUUUCAUGUCAAUCCAAUAUCAACCAGUUAAUUUCAGACAUGUGUACGGGUGAAGUUUUAAUUACUUUGUAUACUUGACUUCAGCAGAUAUAUAAAUAUGAUAUCAUAUCAAAUGGAAAUGGAAAAAAGAAAUUGUGAUUUGAUUGCUUUGUAAAAUCUCAGUGUGAAGAUUUUUGCAAUUUUUAUGCUUUGUACUCGAUGCAUGAAACUCACUAAUGGCAUUUAAUGUGAGAUGUAGUAAUCCAGGUGUUUCCCAUUUUGACUGUUCCAUGUUUGUCAGGUGAUUUAGAGGUUACAUGUAUCACAACUUUUAAGGAUGUUGUAUCAAAUGGGCCACAGCCCAAUAACAUCUUAUUUAAGCUCUUGAUGUUAUGAAAAGUACUGUAGAAGUGGAUUUCAUAACAACAAUAGCAGUAACAAAUAAAGUUUUUAUGGUUGAAAGGAUGAUGUGUGAUAUACAUAUGGAAGAACAAUCAUUUCAUCCUCAAGCUUUACUUCUACACUCGAUUAUGGAUCAGGUCAUCUAUCCAAACUAAUAGGAAGUUUUAGACAAAAAUAUAGGCUUGAAAAAUAAGUUUAGACAAAAAAAUAAAGCUUGUUUUUUUCUAAUGAGUCAGGUCUCGAGUAGGAUUUUCUCUCAACCCAACCCGAAUCAAUUGUUUUGUUGUCAUUUCGCUAUUAUAUUGCUACUAUUUUGUUAUUAUUAUUUGAAUAUUGUAUAACUCCUGUUUUAUUAAUAAUUUUGCUACUAUUUUAUAGGCAUUUGCUUGCUAAGUUGCAAUUAUAUUAGUGUUAUUUAAGUAUAAAGACCCUUUUUAAUGUAUUUUCAAUUUGUUGGAAAAUAUUAAUUUUAAUAUUUUUAGUGUAUUUGAUGUAUUAUACUUUUUAAAUUUAAUUUUAUAUAAAAAAAAUUUAAAAAAAUUAAUACAGAUAGGCCAGGUUGAACUCGGAUUUAACAUUUUUAAUAUGAAUUGAAAUUUGGUAAAAUUUUAAGUCCAUUUUUCGAGCUAAAACCAACUCAUGAUCACUAGGUUUAUCUACUUCUUAAGGGAAGUACUAAAAAUUGGAGAAGUAACUUUAGUUUACUACAAGUCUAAAGAUCAACUAGCAGAUCUAUUUACAAACCACUUCUAGUUAGCAAGUUCAUGUUAGGUUUUUAUGUCUUUUUACGUAUGGUAAUUUUAUCAAAUUUGGUGGUCAAACUGAUUAUUCAUGGAAAUGCACAAAUGUCGAUCGUUAUUUCUAUGCUAAAAUGCCUUCAAUAGUUUUACCUGUAAAGCAAAUGGUUAAGAAAAUAUUAGGUCAUAGAUUACCUAAUAUUUCCCUAAUAUUAAAUUGUAUUAUAAGGAAUAUUUGUAAUAUAUAAAACAAUUUAUAUUAUUAGAUAAUCUAAAUAGUUUGUAGUUCAUGUAAUCUUAUUGAGUAAAUGACUACAGUUAAAACUAUCACUAUAUAUGUCGCCUAUAAGCCCAAAUAGAGAGAUAGCUUAUUUUGACUAUUGAAGUUGAACUGACUUCCAAGAUAAAGACAUAGAUAUGGUUGUUUGAAUUAACAAUGCCUUGGACCUUUACAGAUUAAUUUACUACGUAAAUGAAUGACUAUAUGUAUUGAAAACCUAUUUAUCUCAAAAUAGUAAACUAAAAAUUGAUACGUUGACUAUAUGACUUAUGCAAUAUAUAGCUUCACUCAUAGUAAUGGAAUCAUAUCUCGAUAAAAAGUAAUGGUAUCCUUUAUAUGGUAUUAUAUGGUUUAUGAAAAUAGAAUAUGGGACCACAUGCCAUUUGUUUGUGACAAAUGAUUUAAUCAUUAUCGCUAUAAGUUAUGACUAUUUUUAUUAUAGUAGAUACAAUGGUGACCAUAAAAAUGGAACAUGACCAUGGGAGCUCAAUACUCAGCUCGAGCUCAAUUAAACAUAGAUUUUUAAGCUUGAGAUACAAUCGAGUUACUCGAGGUCGACUAAGCUCGUACAAAUUCAAAUUCGAACUCGGCUUGAUAAUUAAACUUAAGAAUAAUAAUAUAUAUUAAGGGCAAUAAUAUAAUUUAAUAAUAUAAAAUAUUUAACAAUAUAUUAAAAAUUAAAAUCUCGAUAAGGUUCACGAGCCAUUUGAGUCGAGUAUUACUAAGCUCGAAUUCAAUUCGAUGGAUAGUUCUAACUCAACUCGAUAAUUACCAAAUCUAAAACAAUUCUUUUUCAAAUCGAACUCGAAUAAUUUAUGAGCAUCAAUAUUUCAUUUACAUCCUAAUUUCAAAUCUUAAUUUACAGAAAAUUUAGGAUUCAAAUCCUGAAGAACCCCUACUCCCACCAAUUUCUUACAAAUUUCCGAAGGAUCCCUUCUUGGCAAUUAAUGCUAGGUAGUUUGAAUGGUGAGCAAUCCAAACAAACGACGACCAUUCAAGUCUAUAUCCUGCAACAUUCCUACAAUCUUUCGAGUCACACACACAUAACACGACUACUGUAUCUUACAUAUCAAGUUUAGGAUGCCAUCAAAAAAUAAUUAAAAUAAUAAUAUAAAACAUAACACGAGUUAAAUAAUUAAAAUAUAUGUCUCUUUUUAUUAAAUUUGUAUCACGUGUUAACCGAAUACCAACUCAAUUGAAAAAUAAUUAAUUAUAAUUAUAAAUACAUUUUUAUCUUUUUACAUAAUCGAAAUCUAAAAUAUAUAUAUUUUAAAAUGACCAAAUUUAAUAGGAUUUGAACUUAAAACAUAUUAAUUUUUAGCAAUUUAAUCCCAUAACUUAAUAUAUAUGAAAAUUAUUUAAUACAUCGUCAAUAAUUUUUUUAAACUCUAAAAGCGGAUUAAAAGUUUAACAAAUAUAUUAUAAAAAAUAAUAAAAAUAUAAAAAUUAAUUAUAUAAAUGAAAAUGACACUUAUCGCACCAUCAAUCCAUUAAUAAAAUUUAAAAAUUAUUAAUUACUAUAAUACAUCGAAUAAUUACCAUAUAUAUAGAUAUCAACUUCUAGUUAUCUAAUCAUGCAUGGAGAAGAAAGCACUUUCCACUGUUCCACAUGAUAAAUUUUGUCCAAAGCUUGAGUUGUUGCUCAAUUAAUUUUGUGAUAUUACAUAACAACUACCACUAUUACAAUUCUUUCCCUAUUUAGUGUUACAUUCCCAUAUUAAUUUCACUAACCAGAAAUUAAUUCCCCAAAUGUAAAAUUCAAUUAACCUCUCCCUUUCUCGUCUCCAUAAAUAAGUUUAGGGCUGUUAACUAUUUGAUAGAAAUAAUAAAGAUAGGGCUACAAACAAAGUGGGGGUAAACAAUGAUUAGACUCCUCACUUCACCUAUGGGUCUCAUCAUUGUCCUGUAUUUCUUCUUUAUUAUGGUAGGCUUCAUAAGGAUUCAGAUGACGAAAAUACAUAAUUUCACCAAAUUGCAUUAUCCUAACAUUUUCUCUCUCAUCCCUCUUUUAAAUUCUCAUACAAGAGGAUUGAAUUGAAAUUAUUCAUUUUUUAGGGACCAAGGCCCCUUGUAAUACUUUUUCUUUAAUGAAAUUAGCGUUUUAUAAUUAAGAAAAUAAGAAUUCAAAUGAUCAAUCUUCAAUUCAAGAUGUGAUUUACGUUCAGCUCAUUUAUUAAGUUUUGACCUUACUCCUGUACAUAGACUAUAUUACUCUCCCAACUAAGACUUGGCCCGUAAAAUUUUAGUAUUGAACACGUAAGUUGCUCACAACAAGCAAGUUAAGAGCUUUUUAUCUCAUGCUAUUAGUAAAACAAGCCUUCCAUUAAAUAAGUGUAUCUCGACUUGUUAAUUCUUCCAUUAACGCGAACUUCAAACUCCUUGAAAAUAGAUUGAGUACCUCUUCAAUAAAGAAAUAAAUAUUAAAGAUCUUCUGGGAAUAAAGAUCUCUUUUUAAUUAAGGAAGUUUGAUAACGUUGAAAGUCUUCAAUCAGUCCUUGCUUCAUUGAUUUUUUUCACUUUUCAAUCUGAUAAAUUGAUGUUAAAAAUCCUCAAAUAUAUGCAUUAAAAAAGUUCAAAGCUUUUUGAUCAAAGUUGUCGACACAUAUAUGAGAAGUUACACUAUAGUCUAGAUGCAUAAUUGGCACUAACAAAAUAAAUAAAUAGGAAUAAUAUAUUUUUUAAUUAAAUUUAGAGUCGAAUCGAAUCAAACCUCUAAGUAAGAAGUAAAAGCUCUCUCAACAUAGUUUUCUUUAUCUAUAAGUCUUAAAUUCGAAAUCAUUUUUAAGAGGUAUCAAAUUUUACACCUCUCGACAGAGAAAGAGUUUAUAGAUUGAUUCUGCCUAUAACUUAAAAAUAAUAGUAAAUAGAAUAUUAAAAAAACUUAAAAUUGGGUGAGAAAAAGCAAAUAUAGGAAUUGCCAUUGCUAUAUAAAGGAAUGAAGUUAUGUGAAAGAAAAGAAGAAUAAGAAGGAGGAAUUAACAUUUUAGGGGCCUUUAUUUACAUUUAUUUAUUUGAAUAGAGUUGUUAUGGGUAGGGUCCGGUAUUUUCUUUUUCGUUUUCUAGUUUCAACUUGCUAGUUGCUACUUUCCUAUUUGAAUAUAUACGGUUAUUAUUAUAUCUAUAGUCGAGUUUUUUAAUUUCACAAGUAGAGUUCAAUAAAUGUUACGUGUCUAUUUUAUUUUUAAAUAUUCGUUAAGGACACAUAGCAACAUCUCACCCCUGUUUGGGAAUUUUUUUAACUUCACUACCGGUAAACCAAAUAAAUUUUCAUAUAUAUGCAUAUACUUAUAUUAAAAUUUAGUGUAAAUUAUAAGAAUAGUUCCCUACUAUGCAUUUGGUUCUAUUUCGGUCAUUCAACUAAUAAUAUUUUUCGAUUUAGUCAUUAAACUUUUCGAAAUUAAAUAUUUUAGCUACUUCCCAUUAGUUGCUAUUAACUUAAUAAUAAAAGUGUAACGUGAACUUUUUUUCUAUUGAUUUAUUAAUAAAUUUAGGUCUCUAAUAUUUACACACCUCGAUCUCUUGUCAACUACCAUAUACAUCACCUCUUCAUUAAAAAAAAAUAAUAGGGCAUAAGUAGGAAUUAACUUUAUUAUAGUAAUAAUUAAACAAACAACCAUAAUUAUAACUUUAAAAGGGACACCCAAGCCCUCAACUUUAAUCCCAUAACCACUCUUCUCUUCUUUUUUUCUUAGGCAACUUCAAGGCUUUUGAUCAUAAAUUAUUUUACCAACUAAAUUCAUGGUCAUGGCAGCCACUUCCUCUACUACCACUAACUGCUCACAUUUCUUCAAUCUCCGAUCAAACGACGACGAACCCAAGCUGGUCCGUCCGUCACCACCCACCGCUCACGGCUCACCAGCUGCUUCUGGGUCUGGGUGUGGAAAGCUCGACGGUGUUAUCAUGUGGUUCGUCAAUGGCGUGGCGACUGUAUUCUUUGCAUCGUUAGAACGGUGUUCUUGCGUCCGUAUAACCACGGCGGAUGACGGCCAGGAAGCGAAUGACGUGCCGUUGAUUCACGGUGACGGGAACGUCAGGCUUGACGCCGGAACCACGAGGAGGAGAACUGCAGGGAAAGGACCGUUUCUUCAAGACUAAGGGGUUUUAAGAAAUAUAUUUCGUUUGUUACUUAAUUUGGUAAGCUAAAUAUGAUGAUGGAGUUCUCUUUGAAUGUUUUAGUGGGAUUAUAUUGUUGUUUGGAAGUAUAUUUUUACUUUUGUUCUUUAUGAUUAUGAAAUUGAAAAAUAAAUUAGUUUUUCUUAUUUAAAAUUUGGUACCGUUAAAAAUUGAUAUGACUGUUAGAAUAAUCAUACAAUAACACGUAGUAUAUUACAUAUACCUUAUAUUAAGGUAUCAAGAUCAAUUUUUAAUAGUAAAAAUUGAUGAAAUUUUUUAAUAAAAAAAUCAGUUUUCCUUUUGAUAUAAUGUAUAAGGAUUAUUUUGUCCAUUUUUUAGUAGAGAUAAGAAAAUGCAAUCCAACUCCUAGUAGAGGAACCUCUCUCUCUAUAUAUUUUGGUUAAAAUAUACCUCUUACCAUAUUAAAAUUCUAUUGAGUUUGUGUGACCCUCAAUCGUGUCACCAACUCAAUAAAUUUAUCAAAAACCGUCCCUCAUUUUUAAUAAGUAAUAGAUAUUAUUUUUAGGGUAAUUUUAUAUUUUUAUAUAAAAUCUAAAAAAUAUUUGCACAUGGUAUUUAAACCUAAAACAUUAUAAUUUUUAAUCAUUUAACUUUUGACAUUUCAACUAAAACUAUUUUAUGUUAUCAUAUCAUUUUUAUUAAAAUUUGUUGCCUAUAUUUUUUUACUCACAUCGUAAACGUGACAAAAUAUAGUUCAAUUUAAAAAUUUUAAUCUAAUCAUUGACAUAAUAUUUUUUUCAUCAAAAUGUGCUUAUUAUAUGAUAAUCAUUAUCGAGUUUAUAACGAUAAAGCCACGAGCAUAUUAAUAGUAAAUGACAAAACAUACAUACAAUAUUAAUGAUUAGAUUAAAAUUUAUAAAUCGAAAAAUAAGAUUUAAUAUAUGUAUGUCGAUUAAAGAUUAUAUAAUUGUUUUUGAAGUUAUAAUUGAUCAAUACAAUAAGUCUAAUCAAUAUCAAUCAUUAUAAGUAUUAAAUUAAAUGAUUUAACUCAAUCGAAGUAACAAAUUUAAUUUAGCUAACAAAUCCACACAAUUUUCAUAAAAUGGAACUCGAAUUUUGGCGCUCAACAUCCCAAUGUUGAUAAUAUGAUCUGACUAUAUCAGCUCUUUUUGACAUAAUACCUAAAACUAUUCAUAACCCCUCCCCAACUUAUAAAUAGGAAGAUAAUGCACUUUAAUGCACUUAAACCUAUGUCCUCCUACAUUAGCGACAAUGUUCAUAGCAAUUGAGUUAAGACUCAAUCAACUAAUAAUAUGAUUAUUUAAUUGUUAUUUUAGAUGUAUUAUUUUUUAAUUUUCUUUUAAAAAAAUAUUCAAUGAUAAAGUGUUUUAAGUUUUUUUUAAAAAAUAAACACCUUGCCAUGCGAUUCAAUUAUGUUGAAAUCGAAUUGGAUCGGUCGAUCAAACUAGGAAUUAAGCGAUGUUCCAUUUCAAUGUAAGAUAAAAAUUCACUUAACCCUUGAAGUAAAAAAAAAACGCAAUUGACUUUUUCACAAAAGUAUAGAUAUGAUGAUGAUUAAUAUGUUUACAUUGGUAUUAAUAAAUUUAAUUAAAUAAUAAAAAGAUAAAAAAAUCUAAAAUUAUGUAUGUUUAAUUGACUUUUCCAAAAAAGAAAGUAUAGAUAUGACAAAAAAAAAUAUUAACUUUUUUUUAAAAAAUAAUUUAUUUUUUAAGAAAUCAUUUUUAGUAAAAUAAACGUAUCCUAAAUCAAAUCUAAAAUGAGAGUUAAAACUAUAAAAUUUUCGAAUACCAAAAUAUCCAAUCCAAAAUUAAAUAAAACGACACCCUUUUUACCGUUUUUAAACUAUCUUUGGUUUAAACAAAAGAAAAAGUCGUCUCUCUCUCUCUCUCUCACACACACACACACAUCAGCACGCAGAAGGGAAGUUACUGCCACGGUGCAGCAUCAGGAUCCGCCACCGUUUUGAACUACCUUAAAAUCGUCGCCUUAAAUCCCCCAAUCCGUCGCCGAAAAAAUUCUUCAGUAAAGGACAACUUGAUUUGACGGCACGUUAAAGUGAAAAAAAAUUCAAAAAAAGGGGAAAAAGUUUUUAAGCGAUGCUCCAAAUUGGAGAAGAAACCCCUUCGAGGUAAAAGACAUUGAAAUUAGGGUUUAAUUCUUCAUUUUAUUUCUUCAAUGAUUUCGAAUUUUAAUAACAAUGUUUCUAAUUUUAUGUUUUCCGGUAGGUUUGAGUUACUGAGCGUGGUUAGAAAACACUCGAAUUUAUUAGGGAAAACGACGGUGGAUGAGGAAGAUGCUACCGACGUUGAAAUGGACGGUAAAUUUUGGCAUGAUGUCUUCGAUUUGUAUUUCGUUAGGGGUAAGGAAUCGAGAGGUCGACAAGAUGAUGAUCUCAUAUUUUUCGUUCGGAAAUGGGUAUCGAAUCUUGAUCACUUUAUUUUUUUAAAUUAACUAUUUUUUGGAAUAUUAAGCUAAUUGUUUCUAUUUAUGAUGUUAUAGAAGGGGCAUGGUUUUAACGAAAGUGAGGAAAGUGUUGCUCCUUACUUUGUACGCAGGUGGGCACCUGAGGUAAAAGAAAGUCAAAAACCAACUUGAAUCUGAAUUUAAGUUUUCUUGUUUAAGUUGAUUCCAUUUCAAUUCAUUAGCUUUCAUAGCUUUUUGGUAUAAUGCUGUAGGUGCCAAUUCUGGGUUACCUUUAUUACAACUUAGUAUAAUUUGUCUUUACUUUUUUUUUGAAACAGUUAGAUAAGUUAGUUGGCGACAGUUUAUCGGUUGUGGAUUGGCGGCGCUCAUUUUACUUGAAUAUGAUUGCCCAUACUUCGUACUCUGUAACAGUGGCGAUUUGCAGGCAAUUUCUUCACUUCAAUGUGUUGUGUCUUAUCUAUACAAUGUGAUACAUAUUUUAGUUAUUUUGCCGUAUAUGUUGUUCCAAUCAUAAUGGUGGAUACUUUCCUAAAGUUUAAAUGAUAUAUUCCGUUUCUUAUUACUCUUAAAAAUGUCUCUUUGUUUCCUCCUUUCACCCUGGUGAACUAACUUUUCCUGUCUUUGAAUUUGAAUUUUGAAGUUUAGUGGUUAAACUUGAACUAUGAGUUAACUUUCCCCUUUUUCCAGUCACAAUGUCCUUAGAAAUCAUCAAGUGGGGCAAGAUACACCAUUAUCUGCUAUCUACAAGGUAAUUCCUGCUUUAUUGUAGCUAAUGAUGUCAGUAACCUUUUGGAUGAUAUUUAUAUCUCUAACUUUUUGGAACUGUUCUUUUGUACUUAAUAUCUGCCAUCAUGGAGGAAAAGAAAAAGAAAAACUGACCAAAUUUGUUGAGAAAUGUAGGAAUAAACAUGUAACUAUUGCUUCUAACAUGCUAUGUAACUAUAGCCUGCAAAUUUUUGCAAUUUGAAUCCUAGAACUUGAAUUAUUUUUUAUGUUAAAUCAAAUCCUGUUACGUGAAAGGAUUGCUUAAUGUCCUUGCCAACAUUGGAUGCUGCAUUAUCUGAUUGUGAAUUUUUCAUUCUGCUGUCCUGCAGGUUGUGAAGACUGUUUAUGCAUCUCCCAGUCGAGUAAAUUUUCAUUUGGACUCAAAAAAGGCAAGCCUUUCUACUUCCAGGAAAUCAUGGUGACAUUGAGAUUUUCUUCAAUUCUUUGGCAUGCUCACUUGCUUGGAUACAGGAAGUAGAGACAACACCUGCCUAUCCGGACAUCUGUUUUGCAAUAGAUGAUUUUGACUUUACUUUUGAUGCAGUGGUAAAUGCUUUCACUUUCUUUAUAAAGUUACCAAUUAUAUUGUUGCAUAAAUGCACAUGUUAUUUAUCCUUUUAUUUUUUCUCAAAUUAAUUUAUUUAAGAUGAAAAUUUUAAUUAAGUAAUUUUUGCAAAAGUGCAAGUUUCUAGUGGUAUAUGGUUUUCAAUUUGGCUGGUAUUACUGACUUCCUCUUGCAACCCAUUUUAAAAGCAUAAGCUAAUGAGGAAGUUAGAACUUGCUAUUUUUGAAGAUGUUUAAGUACCAAAGUCACUUCUUUGUUUGUACAUUUGCAUCCUUUCUCGGUUAUACUGUUGUGCUGUUCUUUGUUAAUAAUGAGAUUGCUGGAUUUUAUGGAAAGUAAAAAUGUUUUGGUUAAUUGUAGGACCUCCAAUAUUGAUCACUGACAUUUUUCUUCUCAUGCAGGUCUUGACAGAAACAGAUCAUUGCUAUUGUGUUCUUCUUAAUGCGCUUGAUGGGGCAGCUUUUCCUAGUGAAAAGGAUACAAAUGAUAGCAGUUCCAGUAACAAAGUACCAUUGAGAGUAGAUACUAAUUCUAUGAAGACGAAAAAUAGUAAGGUUUGGGUCCUUUCUCAGCUUUGUGAUAAUUUAUGUGUAUUGAUUCCAUGAUCAACCAGAGUCUUCACUUCUGAAGGAGGUACUUACAAACAACUGCUUGGUUUUUGAUGUUAACAUAAAUGAUGGAAGUGGUAUAUAAUUGUUUUUCCUGACAUUUGUUACAUUUUAAUGAUGCCAACUUGGAAUAUUUUAUCAUCAUGAACUAGUUUUGUAUAUGUAAGUUUUAAAUAACAUAAUGUUAGCAUCAAAUGGGCUGAUGCCAUUGAUUCUGUGAAAAGCUGCUUAGGAGUAGUAUUCAUGCAACCGUACUUUGAAGAUCAGUUUGCUGAUGACAUGCUGCUAAUUGUUAUUGCAGCUCACACUUUUUUCUGGAUUUGUCAGCUAUCAAAUGGUCCGGGAUGCAUAUGAUGGUACACUACCUGGAAUCAAUCUUUCCAAGAAUUGCCUUCUGUUUUUGUUCUUUCAGAAUUUUGCAAAAACCUAGCUCAUGAUCUGAUAAAUAUGUUCUGCUUGUGUUAAUGUGAAUGUGAGAAAUUGAUUGAUAUGUUAAACAUAUUCUGUUUUACUAUAGUUUUACAACGGGUUGACACCCUUGUUGGUGCCUUUUAAUCAACAUAUUUUUCAUUUAUCAAAAAUAAUCAUGGUCUGUGGAAAAACAUGCACAUUUAGUCUUUAAACUUGCAGUUGAUUUCAUGUCGAGUAAGCCUGGUCUAGAUUAAAGGGAGCAAAACAUGUAGACUUGUUAACUUAUGUUCUAAACAGCUUAGCUUUUAGUUUAUUCUUAAUGUCUUCUUCAUGCUUAUUUAGUUCUCAUCUCAUAUCAUUCCGUCUUUUUUUCUCAGCUGGGAGUUCUGGAUUCGGAAGUCUUCUAUCAAUGGGUCAUUCCUCUGGCAAAAAAGACAGACUUUACAUGAAAGGUCCUGGAGGACGUGGGGAAGUUGAAGUGGCUGUUUCUGGUGUCGUAGGUCAGUAAGAAAUUCAUCUUAGAAACUAUCCUCUAAAAUUCAGUUCCUUCUUUGUUUCUUAUUUCUCAAUGCUUAUGUAGAUUAUUAAAACUGUAAAAGCCCAAAUUUCCAGUGUUGAAUUCAUUACUCAUUUGAAUGAUGCAUGCAAGUAACCCUUCAUACACUGAAUCUAUCUUUUCUCUAUCAGACCAAAGCAAGGAAGAUUCAGGUCCUUUUUCACCCAUUAUAUCAAAAAAGGGUUUCGGACUUGGCUCCAUUGUUCGUAAAGCAGCUUCUGUUGCAUCUGUAGCAGCAAAGAACGCUUAUGCAGCGGCUUCUGCCACUUCAUCUUCUGAUGAAGAAAUGAUACCUCUCAAAUGUUGCUUAAUGUCUAUAACAUUGCCUUGGGAACACAUUGCUUAUGAUCUUUUGUUCAAGGUAAAGAUCAAAUUUUAUAAAUUGCAUUUGCUGCCAUACUGAUUUCUCUGCACACCAAUGAACACUUCUAGCUUCCAUUUCGAUUCUUACAGGGAAGUCCUCCGGUGAACUUGUAGAUUUCCUGUAUUUCUUGUUGCCGAAAUCCACAGAACUUAAGAGUAGAAGCUACCUGCCUAAGGAGAAGUGCAAUUGCAGGUAAAUGUCCAAAAUGUUUCCACCAUCCAGAGCAUGAAAGGAGAUUAUCUUUUAUCUCUGUAUACAUUGGUGCUGGGUUUUUGAGUGUUUUAAGGGUGUAUGAUGAAAUAGUGUACAUUAUUUAUUGUAAAACCUAGACUGUUCUUUGUGAUGCUUUCAUUGUAUCAGAUUCUUUUAACAUUCUUAGUGAAUGCCAAGGUUUCACUCCUUCCAUUUGCAUGGGCAUUGCUUCUUUGCAUAUUUAUGUAUGGGUCUAAUUCUGGGUUUAGUCUCUUUAUUAUACUGAACUUUGUGAUUUAAUCCUUUUUAUUCUGACAUAAUUUGGUCUUGAUAACAUUUCUUUUUUCCAUUUAAGUGAUGGAAUAGAUUUUUCCUUAACAGCCUAAAGCAUUUAGUUUAUAUGUAAAUUAUUUUGAAUUUACUAAUGAUAUUAUUAUAAAAGUAAAGAAUCGAAUUUUGUAAAAUCAAAGGGAUUAAGUUUUAAAUUUCAACACAGUAGAGGGAUUAAACUCAGAAUUAGACCAUAUAUAAAGGGAGUUAAUAGAGCUUGUAAUGUGAUGAUAAAUGAUCUUGGUUAAAAUGAAAUUUUGGUUCACCUUUGGGGCAAUAUAAUUAAAAAAUACGUAAUUAAUUUGAAUAUAAUUAAAAAAUGACGUAAUUAAUUUGAAUUUAGUAAAAUAAUUUUAACAGGAUUAAAUUUCUACCUAAAAAUAAAAAUAAUAGAUUAAAUUAUAAAUUUAAAUUUAGUAAAAUAAAUAAAUAAAGGGCUGAAGCUGAACCUGGUUAAAAACAUAGGCCCAAAACUUCUGGGCCAAGAAAUACCAUUAAUUUUGGAUCCAAAUCGACCAGUCAAAGACUGACGUAAACGGUCGAAAAACUUCCAUUAGGGGCUUCCCAUCCCAAUGAACCCAAAUCAAUUCAAAUUUAAUUCUCCUUUUAAACAAAGCAUAAAGUCCCGCCUCUUUCUCUCUGCAACCCCAACGUUCUAAAACACGAACAAAAGAAAAAAAAAAAAAAAGCAAUGGCCGAGAAGAUCUGUGUAGCUGUGAGAGUACGACCUUCGAUCUCUGAAGAAUCUCCUUCUGGAACUUUCUGGAAAAUCGAAGAUAAUCGUAUCUCUCUUCACAAGCUUCAUGGCACUCCCAUUUCUGGCCUCUCUUACGCUUUCGGUAAAUCUCAGUUCUUCCCCUCUCAAUCCUCCCCUUUUAUUUUUUUCCCAUCCUUUUUAACACUAAUUCUUUUGUUUUUUGUUUGUUUGUUUGUAGAUCAUGUAUUCGAUGAAAGUUGUUCAAAUUCAAAGGUUUAUGAGCUUCUUACCAAGGAUGUUAUUCAUGCCGCUGUCGAUGGCUUUAACGGUUCGUCUUUUUUUUUUCCCCCUUUUUCUUUUCAGCCCUAAUUUUGAUGAUAUGUUCAAAAUUUUGAUCGAUUAGUAAAAUGUUUAUAGGGACUGCAUUUGCGUAUGGACAAACGAGUAGUGGUAAGACCUUUACUAUGAAUGGUUCAUUGAACGAUCCAGGAAUUAUUCAUCGAGCUGUUAAUGAUGUGUUUCAGAAAAUACAGAUGGUAAUUUAAAUCAAUUAGUUUCUUUUUUUUUUAAAUUGGGGUUUUGAUAUUUCAAAAUUGAAGCUUUGAAUGGUGUUGAAUUAUAUUCUCAGAUUUCUGAUCGGGAGUUUCUCAUCCGAGUUUCUUACAUGGAAAUUUAUAAUGAAGAAAUUAACGACCUUUUCGCUGUAGAGAAUCAGAAAUUGCCAAUUCAUGAGAGUUUGGAGGUCAGCCAUUGAUUAAACUCGUUAAAGUUUCAAUUGUUUAUGGUUAAAACCUGCGAUUAGUCCCUGUACUUUGCCAAAAUUGUGGAUUUAAUUUGUUAGUUUUAGUUAUUGUAGUUUUCGAAUUAAUCAAUUUUAGUCAUCGCCAAAUGAUAACGGUUAAGUUCAUUAAGUCAAGUUCUGCUAUUCCUAAAAUUUGAUGCAGCAAACAUAUUAUCAUAUAUGUAAUCAUGUUAGCUUGUUAUUUCAUAUAUUACUCACUAAAAAUCUAGUUAAGGGAUUAACUACCGUAAUUUGCUUCAGAAUUGAAAUUUCUAAAUUUGAAAAAUAUAGAGAUUUAGAAUGAUCCAGUUGGAAGAUAUGGAUUAACUCUACAAGUAUAUGUAUUGUACAGGACUAGUAAUUGAAUCUAACCAAAAGGAUUUAGCUACUGUGUCAGUAUUAAAAUUUAAAUUUUCAAAAAGUAAAGGGAUUAAAAUUGAUCAAGUUAAAGUACAGGGACUAAUGGCAGAAUUUAGCCAUUGUUUAUACAUAAACCAUAAAGUAACUGUUGUUUCUUGUUUUUGUUUUUUUUUUUCAGCGAGGGAUAUUCGUUGCGGGUCUCAGAGAAGAAAUUGUGAACAAUGCUGAACAAGUGAUAAAGCUCCUAGAGUCAGGAGAAGGUCCUUUAGAUUGCUUGCUUUUUUUACCCUUAGUUUUAUAUGACUGUAUUUUUUUGGUAAUAGUUACUUUUCCCACAGUUAAUAGGCAUUUUGGUGAGACAAAUAUGAAUGCACGAAGUAGUAGGUCUCAUACAAUAUUCAGAAUGGUAUGUUCUUUUAAAAUAUUGCUGAACAUGAAUAUUACUCUUAUUUAUUAGUUGAAUGAAUAUGUGUUAUGUUUCUUUUACAUGACUAGGUGAUAGAAAGCAAGGGAAUUGAUACAGGCUCCGGUGAUUAUUCAAGCAGCGAUGCCAUACGCGUGUCAGUUUUGGUUUGCAUCUCAUCAUACUUCAAAAGCCAUUUUUCUUUUAUCCAAUCUCUACUUUGUCUUGCUAAUGUUUCUUUCAUUUCUUUGGUAGAAUUUGGUAGAUUUGGCUGGUUCUGAGCGAAUCGCUAAAACUGGAGCUGGUGGAGUACGUUUGAAGGAAGGAAAGUAUAUUAACAAGAGCUUAAUGGUUCUUGGUAAUGUAAUUAAUAAACUUAGUAACGGUGCAAAACAAAGGUAUAGUUCUUAUCAUCUGUGAAGUAACUUCAUUUGUGUAGGAUAGAAUAACCAUGUUCUAACCAUAUGGCUUGUUGACAAAUACAGGGCACAUAUUCCUUAUCGUGAUAGUAAAUUAACCCGCAUACUCCAAACUGCUCUAGGUGGAAAUGCAAAAACUUCAAUUAUAUGUACUGUAGCACCAGAAGAGGUAGCCUUCCUUUUAGUGUGUGCCUAUGGCGUGUUCACAGAGCAUUUGGUUUAAUUGUGAUAUCAUAUGUUUAGGUUCACAUUGAGGAAACUAAGGGAACUCUCCAGUUUGCUAGCAGAGCUAAGCGCAUUACUAAUUGUGCUCAAGUGAAUGAGGUUUGUCCAACUUUCUUUUAUUGGACCACAUUACUGUCUAAUUUAUGGAUCUCCAGCUCUAGUCUAUUAUAUGAAAAAACAAGAAUUCUAUUCCACUUUGCUUCUCAUCAUUUUUGUUUGAUUUGGGAUGAAUUUGACAUAAAACUAAUCACGGUGAACCUGUUUGUAGAUAUUGACAGAUGCAGCCUUACUGAAAAGGCAACAGUUAGAGAUAGAGGACCUGCGCAGGAAGCUUCAGGUGAGGCUCAGGUCACAUAUACUAUUAAUAGUCUUAAAAAGCUAUCUAACAUUGUUUAACUUUGUUCAGGGGUCUCGUUCUGAAGUACUGGAACAAGAGAUAUUAAAGCUGAGGAACGACAUGCUUAAGGUUCAUUAAAUUUUUUUAUUGUUCAACCUGCAUUAGCUUCUUGUGCCACAAAUUAUUAGCAUAUACAUAUAAUAUAUUUUUUGUCUACUUAUAUUCCAAUUUGCAGUAUGAACUAGAACGUGAGAAACUUGAGAUGGAACUGGAAGAGGAAAGAAGAUCACACAAGGAGCGUGAACAGCGUAUUAGAGACCAACAGCUGAAGAUCGAAAAUCUAAGUAGUCUAGUUUCAGAUGGUGAUAGAAGUUCUAGUCAGGUACACUCUUGUCUGUUUGUGGUUCCUACAAGAUCAAACACCUUAUCUGUGUAUCCUCUAGCAACAUUACUUGGAAACCAAGGCAAUUUAACGAAUUUGGUUUUGGUGAGAGCAGGAUUCCAUGAAAGAAAGCCCGAAAGACGAAUGCAACGACUUUAAAACCCCUUGUUUUAAAGAGACUAGCAACAACGCCUUCGUUGCCAAGCGAUCAAAUUAUUCAGAGUUACCGGAUUUCAGUCCUCUUCCAGAUUCUUUUAGCAAUGUAGCUGAUGAAGACACUUGGUUCAAAAUGAAUAAAGGCUACAUUGCAGACCUUGAUUCACUCCAAACGACUCCCGCAAGAAAAGCUCAAUCAUUUCCACCCCAAGAUAUAACUCCUGUGUGUUGACAUUCCAAGUCAUUUUUUUCUUCUUGCAAUUUUGGUUUUCUAUUAAUACCUUUUAAUGUGAUAAAUGGUAUUUGGUCAUAAGAACAGCUGCAUAAAUUUAACUUACUUUAUGAGUUGCAUUGUCAGGAUUGCUCAAAUGAUAACUACAAACUAGAACUCCAAAAUCUCAAGACACAGCUAGAACUUGUCAUCAAAGAGAAAGAUGAACUCCAGGUCAGUAUGUAGCUUACAUUCCAAUUAUUUUUCUUGAUUAACCGUCAAUCUUUCAAAUGCAUUAAUUGGCGUUUCAAAUGCAUUAACUGCAUGAAAUUAUUUCAGAAAGAAUAUUGUUUUCAUUUUUCAAAUGCCGACUCUUAUUGAUUGGUAGGUAGCAUUGGAUAUUUCUGCACGACGAACCUCUUUGCUAAAACAUAAUUUUGUGCAAAACCCGAAAAUCUCGCCUGAUCAACCCGAACCCAAAUCUAACCUGACCCGAUUUGAUCGCAAGUCACUAAUCCAAACCCAAAUUAACCUGAAUCUAAUUUAACUCAAACUGAUAUUAGCCCCAAAUCCAAAAAGUAUCAGUCCAGAAACGAUCGAACAAGUAAACCAAAAUGAUUUGAAGUGACUGAAACUCAAAAUGACUUGGACUGAAAUAAUUUGUAACUGAACUUGACCCAAAUUCAAAAUCAUUCCAACCUAAAAUGACUAAAAUUUUAAAACUUGAAAUAAUCCAUCUAGAUUGAUUGACCCAAAACCUAAAAUGAUUGGUUUACAUUCCAGGUCUCACCGUAGCGAAUCUGACAUUUUUUUACUGCUUAAUUUUCUUGAUGGUACUUUUCUAUGUUCUAACAGUUUCAAGCUUGACAUUCGCAGAGAAAACAUGAAGAAGAAGUACAAAUAAACAGGAGAUUAAUGGGAGAAAUAUCUGAACUUAAACAAGAACUAGAUCUGAGCAACAACUCUCUAGAGUCCUCAGCACAAAGAUACGGCAACUUGGAAAGAGAAUUUCAAAAGUUGAAAGACGAACGAGAUUCAUUGCUGCAAACAGUCUCCGAAUCAUCGAAGAACAUAACGUUCCUAACCGAUCAAAAGGAAAACAUUUUGAAGGACUUGAACUGUGAAGUACAAAGAAGGAAAGAUCUGGAAGCAGAGAUUAAACAAUUCAGCGUUGCUUUUGCUUCACGGCAGAGAUCACUGGCGUCGAUUCACGGUGAGUUUAAAUCUAAAAUUGAGAAACUGAGAGCUGAAAAUCUAGUACGGUAUUAAGAUAAAUAAAUUGAUUUCAUUUAUCUCCUUGGGUAUUGGCAUGAGUCCUUGCCAUUCUUCUUUCAAUUUAUUCAAACUGUCUCUCUUUUAAUUUACAACUUGUUUAAACCUUAACGAUGUUGGUAUUAUUGGAGAUACUGUAGUUAGUUGUCACCACAACAUGUGUUAUAUAUAUUUCUACAUUUGGAAUUAAUUUCUUUUUAUUUUCAUGAAUUUAGUAUUCCCGAAUUUAAAAAUUUUACAAUGAUUAUUUUUACUGUUAAAAAAUUAUUCUCUAAAUUAAUUGGUAACAUUUUAAAAUUAAAAUAUAUAUAUAUAUAUAUAUAUUCAGUUGCUAACCAUAUAACAUCGAAAAUUCUAUCUUACCAUGUUUAAAUAAUUUUUUUUGUUGAAAUAAUAAUUUUUUUAGUGAAUAUAAAACAAAGAGUUCACAAAGAUUUAAACUAAAACACCUAAAGGAGGUUGUUCAAAAUUGCAAUCUAUUUUUGCAAGAAAACCCACAAUUUUAUUUUCUUCCUUUGGGCACAUGUUAGAUAUGCCAUUUUACUGUUCCUUCCAACAGUUGAUGUAUAUACCCUAUCGAAUCUCUGCUUCAACAGAAGUGAAAGCCCUCAAAGUCACUCCAUAGUUUGGCCUCCAAUACUGAAUAUGUUCCCAGAAAUUUUUUGAAUCCUAAAAUCCAAUAUUAAUUAAGUUAAGAAUUUGGUAUGAUUAACAUUUUUUUUAUGGAAAGAAAGAAGAAGAGUAAUUAAACUAAUGCCUUGUUGAUUGGGUCAAUAAGAUUGUGAUGGAAGGAGACAAGGCCCCAUGUCCCAUCCCAUCGAUGAUAUAUGGUUUUUUCCACAUCACCAUGGCUAUUGGACACCCACUUGUUAUUAUGUUCCUAUAUGCAUUUGUUAAAUAAGAGGGAUAAAAAAUAAUUUUUUACUAUGUUUUUAAUUGCGUCUUUAAAUUUGAUUUAUGUUAAAAUAUGAUGAUUUGACAUAUUCAUAUUUUAUUAAUUUAAUAAAUAUAUUUUUUAAUUUUGGUAUUUAAAUUUAGUAAUUAAUCUACUUUAAUAAUUGAAUUUAAAUUUCGUAUAUUUUUUAUGACAUAACAACACUUUAGAGUGCCACAUCAUCACUUAAAAAUUAAAAAAAUUAUAUAAAAUUUAAAAAUCUAACAACCUCAUAAUGCAAGUCUUCAUAUCCCAAAUUUAGGGAAUAAAAUGAAAAAAAAAAAAAGCUGUCAAGUUCAACUAUAAAAGUGGACCAAAAAUAUAAAUAGCAAAAUAAACAUAAUUACUAAAUUCAAGGAUCAAAAAUGAAAUUAACGCAAUAUAUGUGUGGUGUCAGAUGCAACAAAAUACAAUCACAAAAUUAGAACAAUCAAUCACGGGUGGGGAGAUCAAAUUCUGACCAAAUUAUGAUGUACAAUCAUUAGAUACAUCCCAUUGUACAAUUUGUUUAAACUGUAUAUAUAUAAGUUUAGCGCAGAUUGGUUAUUACUUCAAUUGGUAUGGGUAUUGCUGUCAAUGCAAGAGGACGUGAGUUUGAUUGAGUACGUUAAAGUGCAUUAUCUUCCUAUUUAUAGGUUAUGGCGGGGCUAUGGAUAGAUUUUAAAAAAAUAUAAUUAGUAUUUGUAAUGAAAUUGUUAAAAAAAUAAUUAUUAAAAAAAGAGAUUAAUGAGAUAUUUUAACCCAUUUAAAAAGUGAAAUUAUGAUUAUUAAAAUAAUUGGCUUUUCAGUAAUAUUUUUUUUAAAAGAAAAUACAGCUCAACCUAGAUUUUUUUUUAAAUUGAAAAAUAAUUUUUAAGGGUAUUAAUGAUUUAAACUAAGAUAUAAUCAUAAAUGAGAAAAUAUUUAUUACACGGUUAGCGAAGUUUUUAAAAUUCGUCGAGAGAUUGAUAAAUGUUCAAUAGAGACAUAAUAAAAUAUUAAAAAAACAUUUAUUAAAUUUUUAAAAUUAUUUGCGGAAUAAAAGAAAAAGUAACCCAUCAAAUAUUAUAUAUAUUAUGUUACAAUGUUGAAGAUGAUAAUGUAGAUAGUUUAAAAUGAGAAAAUUUAACACUCUAAAUCAAUGCAUUUAAUACACUUUUAUUAAUUUAAUUUUAAAUAAAAAUAAAAUCAUGUUUAAUAUUUAUUUAAAAGAAAACAUGUUUGUCACGUGCAUUGUGAAAACUAUUUUUGAUUUUGAUACACUUUUUUAAAGAUAAUUGAAUACACUUUUACUAAUUUUAUUUUAAAUAAAAUUAAAAUCAUGUUUAAUAUUUACUUUAAAAAAUAUGUUUAAAACAAAUUUUUUUUUACAAUUUAAAAUAAUUCUACUUAAUACGGUUUACAAAACUGCUUUUUUUUAUGAAAUUCAAAAAGGUAAAAAAUAUAUUAAUUAAAAUAAUUGAAAUAGUUUUUUUUUAAUUUUUUCCAAUUUAAUUUUGAGUUAAAAUUUUCUCCACAAUUUUUUAUUUCUAUUUCUGUAUUUUAUAAAAUUAUUGAUAAUUAGUUUUAUGUAUCAAACAUUUAUUUUUAGUUGAUAAAUUGAAUUUAUUUGCAAUUAUAUUUGUUGUCAAUUUUCCUUUAAUUAUAUUUAAAUACAAAUAUUUUAAAUCAUUAUAUAUUAAGCUUUGUUUAUUUUUAUUGGAAAAAAAUCAGUAUUAUUAAUUAUAGAAAGAUCAAAUUUGAACUCAAUCUCGCUUUUUUAAAAAAAAAAUGGGCUUCGUUCUUAUUGAAAUAAUUUGAACUCAAAAUGAUUCGAAUUUGACCCAAUUCCAGAAACAUAAACCUCAAAUUUAAAUGACCCGAAAUUAAAACGAUACUAACUAAACUUAGUUGAAAAUUUUAAAAUUCGAAUCCACCUAAUUCAAAUUGAUGUAAUCGAAAACCAACCCUACUCACCUAAUUGAAAUAUCUAUGGAAUGGGUUUCAAUAUUUUUUUCCCAAUUAGCUCUAUUCUAUUAUUUUAUCAUAUCAAUCCAUCCAACAAAAGUUCAAAAUCUGAAAAAACCCCAAUCCCUAAAAUCAUAACACAACAAUACAAACAAAGAGUAAAAAAAAGGGUUAAAUUGCUAUCCAAGUAAUUCCAUAACAGUAUAAAUAACAUAGAUUCUCCUUUCCAGAAACCCUGAAUCCAUAUUUUCUGAUAAACCAAAUCCCCAAGUAAAAGAUGCUCCCACUUUUUUGGGUAAAUUAUUUCCAAGGUAACUAAACUAUUUGUAGGUUUAUGUUUUAGUCAUUCAAUUUCAAAAAAUUACAAAAUAGUCAUUGAACUAUUGAAAAGUUUUCAUUUAAGUGUAAUGACCAUUUUGUAACUUUUUAAAGUUGAGUGACCUCGGAUGUAAUUUACUCUUCUUCUUUUUUUUACUUUAUAAACAGAAAUCAUGUCAUUACUGGGGCCUCCCUCAAAUCAUUUCAUAAAAAAACAACGAAAAGAAUGAAAAUGAAAGUCAUUAUGUUCUCAAAUGAAUAUUGUAAAUGCUAUGGACUGUUUGACUGCAUGUACUUGGCUAAAAUUAUUGUGGAGGUACUUGUAUUUAAAGUUAAAUUUUAUUCCUGUCCUCUCUAUUAAAUAAAUAGAUAAAUUAAUUCAUGUGCAUUAGUUUGAAGAGCAACCUAAUUCUUCUAUUAAAAACUCCAUUCGUUCUUAUCAUUAAAUGAUAACGUGACUGAUAGAGGAACUAAGGGGCAAAAUGAAAGCCAUUAAGCUAACAAAUGCAGAUUGUUAAUGUUAUAAAUAAUGGACUUGAAUGCAUUUUGCUCCCUCUGCUAAAAAAAAUGAGCACAUUAAUCCCUAUAUGUUAAAUAAAAAAGCAAAGUGAUUAUUUCAUUAAAAAAUUCAUCCAUUUCUACCAUUAAAUUAUGACGUGGUUGACAGAACAAUCAGGGGACAAAAUGAAAGCCAUGAAGCUUACAAACAAUGAACCAUAUGAUGUGGACCGCCUGAAUGCAUGCAUUUGGGUAAAAGUGUCAUGGAGGUCUUUGUAUUAAGAGUUGAAUUGCAUUUUGCUCACUUUGCUCAAAGAUUAAGUAAAUUAGUCCUUACGCAUUAAAUCAAAAAACAAAGUGUUUCUUUCAUAAAAAAAUUUCAUCCGUUUCUACCGUAAAAUCAUGUGUGGCUGAUAGGACAACCAAGGGGAAAAUGAAAGAAAUGCUGACUGUAAUGUCACGAACAAUGAGACCUUAUGUUAUGGAAUAUGGACUGCCUGAAUGCAUACCCUUGAGUUAAUAGGAAAUGGAGGUCCAUACAUAGGAAUAUAUAUAUAUAUAUAUAUAUGAUGUGAGACUAGUUUUAUAAGUAAAAACAAAUAGAGUACAGAGCCAAUUUCAGACCAGGUUCUAGCAUUCAACUUGCCUUUGGCUAAGUCAAAAAGAAACAAAGUCCUUAUGGGACCAAAUUAAAUACCAAAAACAAAAAAAUUAUUCUGAGAGGGAUAAAAAAAAGAGACAAAAAGGCAAAAUGAAACAAAAACAAAACCCUUUGAAUAGAAGGCUUAUACUCCAACUCGAGUGUAAGAGUAAGAUACGAAUUAUGUAUUAAUUUAAGAUAAUAUAAUUUUUUUACCCUUAAAUUUGAUGAUUAAAUUCAUUUUAGUAUUUAUAUUUUUUCUAAUUCACUUCAUUGCUUGAACUUAAUAAUUGGGUUCAUUUUGAUCUUUAAACUUGAAAAAUAUAAAAGUUUGAUAAUGUGACGCUCUCAUAUCGUACCAUAUCAUUACUUGAAAAUUAAAAAAGUUAUAUAAAUUUUCAAGUGAUGAUGUGGUAUAAUCUCAAAGUCUUGCAUUGAGUGUUUAUAAUCGGACGGAUUGUUAAAUCGGUUAAACCACCGGUUCCUGAUUCAAUCGGUUCAACCGUUAAAUCAACAAUAAUAAAUAAAUUCAUAAAAAUCUAAAAAACUAAAACUAAAAUAUUAUUAAACCUAUUCAAGAGUCAAUUGUUGUCCCAAAUUUCAAUUUUUACCAAUUUUAAGCAAUUUUCAAUACAAUCGGUUCAAUUCAUUUGUUCAUAUUGUUAUAUCAAUCAGUUCUCAAUCCAAUUGAUUCAACUAACUAAUCCGAUCUUAUUCCGAUAGUACUAGUCACAUCAUCAAAAUUUAAAAUCCAAGUUUAAAUAUUAAAAUGAUUGUAAUUAUCAUAUACAAUAUCCAUGUGUGUGACACGAGCGUGAGAAAAAUAAGCUAUAUAACCUUUCUCUCUCUCUUUCUUUCACUUUCAUGGCCUUAAAUACCCCAUUCUUCCAUCUGCUCUCUGUUAUUUUACAUUCCCAAACUGAUAGAUAUCCAUGUUUUCCCCCAUUUAAUGCCUAAGGUCUUGCAUAUGCAACACCUUAUCUUCAUUUUGUUACACUUUUUUUCGAGUUUUUUCAAUCAUCUUUUCAGCUCACAUGGCCUCAAGGACCAUACCAUCCAAGCCUGCAAGACAACUGGGUGAACUCCUUGAAGAACAACAAGAGCCUUUUAUCUUAGAAGUUUACCUUUCAGAAAAAGGGUGUGGUGCCAAGAACUUAACUCCCAUCCAUGGUGGUUCAACCAAAAACAAGACCAAAAAGGGUAUCCCAAAACACAUCCCCAAGGUACUUAAACUUAUACCAUGUAACAAAUUCUUUACAAGCAAAGGGUUAAGAAGAACCAAUAAUCCCAAUGAUGAAGAUGGAAAGACAGAUACAUUUUCUUGCUCAGCACUGUGUAAUUCAAGCUCAGAUAGUGACAUAGAUGAAGAAGAAGCAUCAUCAUCAUCAAUGUCUUCAAAAAUGGCAGAAAAAGCUGUUGUAGAUACAAACAUGGAAGAUACUAAGCAACACAGUCCACAAUCAGUAUUAGAAGCUAUGUCUACUUCCACAGGUUCAUCACUUGGACACCCAAUUUUGAUCUGAUUUUAAAUUAAGGGUUAAAUUAUUAUUUAGUCUGAAUUUGGCAACUUGGUCUAAACUAUUUUUUGUCCAAGUAAGACCCUAAACUUAGGCAAUUGCUCUCACAUCAAAUUUGAUCUGGACAAUUUUUCUCAUAUUGGAGUCUGAAUUUUUUUUAUCCAAGUUGGUCCUUGAACUUGACAACUAUUCCAUAUUAGGGCUUAAUCUAUUUUUUGUCCAAGUUAGUCCCUAAACAAUUAUUCUCAUAUUAAAGCUUAAACUAGACAACUAUUCCCAUAUACCUUAGGGCUUGAACUUGACAAUUGUUCCAAUAUUAAGGUUUGAACUAAGCAACUAUUCCUACAUUAAGACUUAAUUUUUUUUUCUAAGUUGGCCUCUGAAUUUGGCAAUUGUUCCCGUGUUCCAUAUGAAGGUUUGAAGUUGGCAGUUAUUUCCAAGUUAGGGCUUGAACUAUUUUUUUCAAGUUCAGCCUUGUUGGACAUAAUUGUCAAGAUUUGGGACUAAUUUAGACAAAAAAAAAAUUAAAGCUCCAAUGUGGGAAAAGUUACCAAGUUCAGGUCCUAAAUUCAAUUACUACAAAUACUAACCCUAAUGGUUUAAAUUAAAAACAGGUUCCAAUACAAUGCAGAAAAGCUUCAUUUUGCCCAAAUUAAUAACAGAGGAAUCAAUAUUAUCGGCUACACUAUGGAAUUUGCUUCUACAAACAACAGAUUCAGAACAGUCAAGUGGUUCAUCACCAUUUUCAAUGUCAAAAAGGGUAUUACAGCAAACAAAGCAGCUACUGUUAGACUGUGUAAGAGAGCUUGUGGAUCAUAACAACGGAUGUAUGAAAGAAGGGAAAGGGAAAAGGUAUUUAGGGUCAGAAGAGAUUGGGAAUGUUAUAUGUGAGAAAAUAAAAGGAUGGGGAAAACAACGUGGGGAUGAAACAAACAUACAAGAGAUGUUGGAAUUGGAUGUAAUUGAAACAAAGCAAGAAUGGGAGGGGUUUGAGAUUGAAUCAUAUAAAAAGGAGAUGGGGAUAUGUAUUGGAAAUGCCAUUGUUGAAGAGCUUAUAAGUGAUGUUGUUAUGGAUAUGAUUGAUGGAUUGACUUUGUUAGAUAACAUAACAUGAAUGUAAUUUUGGUUUUGCUUUGCUUCUAAUUUCCAAUUACUAUUUUGAUUUUAUGUGCUUCUUUUAAUCUUCUUUCCUCUCUUUAGAUUUAUUGCAUAAUGAUAGAAAUUAAUGAAUAUAAUAUUAUAAGAGUUAAUUGCAUCAAACAUCUUUAAAUUUAUUGAUAUUAUAUUAAUCAAGUCUUAUUUUUAUUAAAAUCGUUAAUUUAACUAUUAUCUCGUACAUCGGGUCUUAUACAACAAAAUUUAAAAUGAAAAUUUUAUUAAAAAAUGAAUGUUGUAAAAUUCUUAAUCUUGAGGUUUUUGAAGCUUUUAUAGAUGUUUUAUAAUCCAUUCUCUCUUUUUUCGGUUCUAAUUUAUUUGUAGUUUUUACUUUUAAAAUUAUACUGCAAUAUCUUAUUUUUAAGAAUAUUUAAUUUUUAAAUUUAGUUACAUAAAAUUUGAUGUGUCAUUUAAUGGUCUCAAUAAUGAAAGCACCUUACUGAUAUAACAUUAAUGGUUUUUUUACCUCGAUUCAUUUGGUCAAAAUACAAAUUAAACCCAACUUAAUCUGAUCAUAGGAAGUCGUUAAACUAGUCCAACCUCGAUUAAGAAAACGUUUUGAACCCCAAAUAACUCAACUUAAAAUGACUCGAAUAAAUAAUUUGAAAUUAUCCGAACCUGAAAUGACCAAACCAAAAUGACAUCUAACCCAAAAAAAUUUAAACAAAAUUAAUCAAAUAAAAAAUCAAUUUACCCAGAAUUCCAGCAUACAAAAAUAAAUGAAAGGAUUUGUUGUUUGUUUGUAUAGUGCAGCACUUGAAUGCCUUCCAUAAUAAUAUAUUAAUGAUUGAACGGAAAUUUAAUUGAAUAUAAGAAAUGAUAUUCUUUUUGAGAAAUAAUAUAAUAAAUGAUUGAACCAUAGUGUUGGAGCUUUUAUUAAAUGAUGGAUUUGAUCCAUUGAGGUUGACAUACAAACCACCAUAAAGCAAAAAAGCACCUUCUUAUCGGAUACCGCCAAUCUAAUCAAACUAGUCACCAAUUACAAUUAGUCAAGCUUUUGAAGGUCUACCAACUUAACUAUUCAUUCUUUUGGUAAUUUCUCUUAAUUAUUCCACUAGAAAAAGAAAGUACGAUUGUCCCAAAACAUUGCUGAAAAUGCAUAAUCAUAUCGUAAAACCAGUCAAAUUAGUUGAAUUAGAAAUCAGCCAAAAUAUCAAUCCAGAAUAAAGGUGUGAUAUUUCUAACAAUUCAUUCAACCGAAACGAUCAGAUUAAACAUCACCACGUAAAACCCUUUAUAUGUAUAAUAAAUAGAGAAAGGGAGGACCAUAUGUAACACAAUAAAUGCACAUUACAUUAUGACAAAACACAUGGCAGCACUCAAGACAUUUUUCUAAAGCCAACAAAACUGUAUAUCAAAGUCGAAAUAGCCUCAAGGAAAGGAAAUUGUACCUCUUGGAUGCUCUCUUAAUAAAGAUGGAAAAUUCCAAUACAAAACAGAGUGGUUUUAAGUAAAGACAAAUAAUAAUAUUAAUAAUAAUCACAUGCAUUCAACCAAAAGACCAAAUCUUCGUAUAAAGCCAACAGUUUGCUUCUGAUGUGUGAAUGACUACAAAAUCUAAUUUUUACUAACUUGGUGAAAUUCUUUUUUAUAUUUUUGCCUGUGUAGAAAAGGCUAAAAAGUUAAAAAGUGAUUAGAGUUGUAGAUUUCUUGGUUUACAAAAUACAACAAUGUAGCAGUAAAAUCAUUUUAAGUACUAGUUUAUUUCCCAACUUUGUUUACUUAGCUUUUUGGAUGAGAAUAGGAAACACUACUGGAUUUCACCAUCCUCACCGAGUUCGCCAUCUUCCAGCUCCUCGUAACCACUGUUUCGGCGUGAGCCAUCACGGUGAUCUCUCUUGUGUUUUCUAUGUCGGCUUUCACUGUCAGAAUCGGGUGAGUGAGCAUGCUGCCAAGGAAACAUUGGAAGAACAGUUAAGGCUUAGUUGGACAAACAUGCAAGUACUAUCAUCAAUGGAUAGAUAGGUAGAUAUACCUUUCUAGAUUUCUUACGGUCGCUACCAUGUCUACGAGACUUCUUUGACUCCUCUCUAUCAUCCUUGUCAGAACUCCCAUCAUCAGCAGCAUGUCGUUUACGGUGUUUCCUGUCUUUUUCCUUCUCCUUUUUCUUCUCCUCUUUAUGGCCGUAGCUGUCAGAUAUAUCUAAAUUCUCACUAUCUGUUUCAUCUUUUUUACUUCGGUCUUUACCUUUUUCCCUCUCCCGUUCUCUUUCCUUCUCCUUUCUCUCCUUCUCCUUCUCUUUCCGUUUAUCUUUCUCUUCUCUAUCUUUCUCCUUUUUAGCCUGAAAACAACCAGAUAAAACUUCUUUCAGUUUAGAAGAAACCUAUGAUUUUAUGCAAAUAUGAAGUGGAGAUAAUGAUUCAAGAAAAUUAGAGGGGAAACUCAAAAAAAACUAUGCAACUGUAUAAGCGCUUGUAUUAUUUCAUGCACUUCAUAUACACAUAAAGUUUAAAACCAACUAAACUUACUUCAUGGUGACCAAAGAGUGAAGCGUUAUCAAAGGUAUUUUAUGAAUAUAUGAAAAAUUUAACCAACUACUUGGAAAUAUAUUUAAAGAUUCACAAACCUUUUCCUCCUCUCGUUUACGCUCCUUUUCUUUAGCUUUCUCCUGUAAGUGUGUAAUGUAUUCCUCAAAGAUCUCUCUCCUAAAGCUUUCUUCCGCAAUUGAUCUAAUAAAAAGCAUGGCAAGAAACCAUCAAAGGAGGAAAGAAUCAUAAAAGUGAGAAAAAUGAUAAAUAAACGGUUGUUUAUCUUUAAUGCAAAGAUAAGGGUGAAAUACCUGUAUUCUUGGCUUUCUUCAAAAAGUGGUUUCGAUUCUUCCCAGUCAGAAGAAGCGGUUAUCUCCUGCAAAGAAGCAGGACUAGAAAUUAAACAAGUUUACAAAAGCUAUACUGCCCAUUUGUCUUCAAAAAAAGUAUAACAGACCUUAUACGUAUGUAAUAGUCUAGUGAAAUCAUCGGCUAGACGUUGACGUUUUUUAGCCUCUUUCUCCUCCUUCUCCUUGGCUCUCUCGAGCAGCUCAUCAUACACAAGCUGUGAACAAGUAAAGAAUAAACUUAUCAACGUUCAGCCACAAGCUGUCUACUUCUUUAAUCUAAUAAAUGAAGUGAACAAAAUGCUAAAACAACCAUCCAACUUAUCAACACCUUAUCAAACAGAAGCUCUAAACAUCUGAUUAAAUUAUAAAGUACAAGGACUCUAAUCAGAUAAAGUGUUCUAGGAGGGUUUCAUUUAAUUCAAUAAAAAAUCUACAAGAGGUUAGGGCUUCCUUCUUUUCCUUUCCCCCCAAUCCCUCCCUUUUUUUGUUGUUGAAAACAUGAGUUCCCUUGCAACACAAGUACCUUUAAGUUAAUAUCCGAUAUCGAUGAGGAACCAACAUCUUCAGAAAUAGCAGCCUUGAAGUCUUCAAAUGUCCAUGAGUAAACCAUAGUAACCUGAGGGAAAGCCAAGGGGUUCAAUAACAAGAAAGCACCAAGCAAGAACCAGCGACUUGAAUAUAGUAUCCUACCUUCCCUGUCUUCAUUGCUUCUUUUAUGCGGGUUUUGUGUUCAUGAUACUAUCAAUGUACAAAAGAAACCAUCAGAAACAUGAAAUUUUUCCUGCUUGAGCAAAAAUAUAAUGGAAACAAGAGGAAAAUGGACACUUCUCACAGAACAUAUCUGAGGCGGCACACACCUGUUUGUCUAAUUCUUCAGCAACAUCCUCAAACAAAUCUUUUGGAGUUGAACCUGAUGUGUUAGAUGCAACAGCAAGAUACUGAGGCAAUUCUUUCACCUACAAAGCAUAAAACAAAGAGACUAAGCAAAAGCUAUUGCAGAAAAAUAGCAAAACACGCAUUGGUUAAAGCCACUCUUACUAUAAAACAAGUUAAAACAGAUAAAAACCUUCAAACAAUAAUCUCGCCAAUAAGUUUUAGCCGUAAGAGUGCCAUCGGCAACGUGUUCUUCCAUUAGCUUACGAAAUGCAUCACGGUUUUUGCGCUCAGCACGUCUCAGUUGUUCCUAGAUUUUGACAGAAGAAAAAAGGUAAGAACACAGAUCGGUAGCAAAUUAAUAAUCAUAAAAAGUACUUCUACCUUUUGCAUCUUCUUUUUUUCCUCUUCUUCCUUCUCCAAGUCAUGAAUGUAGUCCUGGAAUAUAAGCAAGCGGUCAAUUUUUUCAAGACGUGAGCAUCUUUCAUCAUCCUCUAAGCGAUCUUGAACUUUCCGCCACUGGCUGUUUGCCUGCAAAUUGAAAGUUCAUGAAAAAAAGAAAUCAAGCUAAUGACCUUUACAAACAGAACAAAUAACAAUCUUCUUUCGUAAAUGUUGUACCUUAAUAAAAUCACAGGAUUCCAGAAAUUUCCUGUAUUCUGCUAUAUUCCGCCUUUUUUCCUCUGCAGCAUAUUCCCUUUCCUGCAUUAAAUAACAAGAUUACGAAUUUGAAUAGGUUUAAUUUUUUGCUUGGUUAUUCACCAAUGAAUAUAGUAAUAUAAUGCAUAAUCCUCCAAAACUUCCAUUUAGCCAUAAGGAAUACUAACUGAUAAAAGCAGAUGCAACAUAUAUUGAAACUAGAAAUCACAAAUCUGCAUGCAUGAAUCUUUUUUUUUUCCACUCAUGAACCUUUAUUUGAUGUCUGACCCACCAUACUUCACAGAAAUAACAGUCAAAUUUGUGGCAGAAAUUAGCAGGAUACCAGUGAUAAUAUGUGUUAUAAACAGAAGCAGUAAAAUGUUUCAAAGUCAAAGAAAUCAAAAUCUGAACCAAUGAUUUUCGUAAGUUAUACAAAAAUGGCCAAACUGUUUUACAGACUGAAUUAGCAGACUAUCAAUUAACUUGUAUUUGAAGGCUACUACUCCCAAGGCAAAUUUUGAUUGAAAAAGCAUCCAUCCAUAAAUAUUAAUCUUGCUGAAGGCAUAUGACUGACAGAUGAGGAACAAGGUGGAAUUCACAGGUUUUUAUUCUACAGACAACACCUAGGCAUACCAUAUCUUGUCACGGCAUCCACACACCAAAACCCAAUUAUAUAUGAGAAAUUGUACAUCUGCAAAAACUGCAAGAAAUAUGAAACUAUUACCUUCCUCUCAAGAUCCACUAUAUAGUUUUCAAAGAGAUCUUCCCGAUCUCUGGCUCGUUCAACAGCCUUAAACCGUUCAUCAUUUUCAAACAAACUUUGAGCUUUGCUGAACAGAUUAAAGCUUAGUUAGAAUAUUGAACAGUUUCAACAUUUAAUAAUGAGGCUAUAACAAAUUUAAUUUCCCCAAAACAUAGAGAAAAAUCUCAACCUCCAUCUCAUUGAUGAUGUUAGUUCCUUGGACUCCUGGAAAGAAAUCAGAGCAACAAGAAGGCAUUAGGUCAAAUAAACACGUAAACAGAGACAAGAAGAGAAGAUAAUGUGAACUUCAUGCAACAUACUUCCAACAUCUUUGUAAACUCUUCUCGAGCUUUCUUCUGUCUCAUGCGCCUUUCCUCAGCCUCUAAUUUCUUUCUUUGACCCAAAUACUAUUAAUGAUAUCAAUUUGUCAGAACAUAAUCAGAUAAUUUUUUAUUUAACCCCAAACAUUGAUUUACAGAAGAAAAUAAAUUAAGUGAAGUAAGACAAACUUAUAGCAAUUCUAUGACAUGUAUAACAAAAUGAUACCACACAACCACAACUAUAAGACUCCUGGGUACCAUUUACCUCAUUAAAGGCUUGCUUCCGUUCACCAAGUGUCUUCAGAGCACCAUACCUUUUGUCAUUAAUUAUUUCUCUCAUUGUCUGGAAGAAAUUUUCAAUGUCAGAAGAAACAAACAUACUGAAAGAACAAAGCUGGCAGGAAGGCAAAAGAUGAAGCAAGAGUACCUGCUCCCAAGUCCAAUCAGAUUGCACAUUUGCAGAUUCAAGGAGUGAUUUGAAAGCAUUUUUUGCCUCCUGAAAAAAAAAUUUAGGUAAGAAAACACAUAAAUGAACUGCCAUUGAUCCAGUCGAUUGCCUAAUUGGCAUCAAAGUUCCCUGUCUUUAGGGGAAAAGAUAGAACAAAAUUUAACUGAUAAGACAAAAAAAAAAAAAAAACAAGUGACAUGUCUUUGGAAUGUUACCAGCUUAUUUGCAUAUACUAAAGGCUCGUCAUCUGGAACCUUCUCUUCCACUGGAGUCAUAUUAACUUUUCCAGCUGUUGCCAUCCCCUUUUUAGCUUCCUAAAAGAAAAAACAAAUUAAAAAUAUUUUAAACAAAACAACAAAUACAAAUACGAAAAACAUCCCACUGCCAACGUAUUUGGAAGUGUGCAUCUACAAUUUGCCAAAUAGACCAGCCAACAAUGGUAGGUAGUAACUAUUUUUUUUUCCAAAAAUAGAAAAGAACUCUUAAAAUGAUCAUUUUGCCUCUCCCAGAGAUGGUCGAACGAAAGAAGGGAGCUGUGAAUUGAAACAACAAAUGAGUAUACCUCAAUGUCCUGAGCAGAAGCUCCAUCUGCAAAAUGCAUAGUGUCUUGAGUUGCUGUAGUUUCCGAGCUUCUUCUGAAGUGAGGAUACAGAAUGAUGCGGUUAAUUUCAACAACAUUAUUGAAUCACUGAAAAAUUAAAUAAAAGUUCAAUAGAUGUCCAUACGUGACUGCUGUGUUAGCACCGACAGAAGGAGCAGAGACAGUGGAACCUCUGGAGGGGACUGCAGGUACAGGUGUCACAGACACAACAGGGAGUUGAACCCCAGUUGCACUCAUAGCAGCUGAUUGUGCAACAGGACCUGUUGUUGGUCCAGAUACUGAAGUAGGUGAAGGAUUAGCAACAGGCGUAACUGAAACUGGGCUUGAAUCCUGCAAAGUGUUGGAGCUCACAGGAAUAGCUGUAGUAGGUGUCUCAGCUGCAGAGACAGCAGUAGCAACUAGAGCUUGAGGAGCCACUCCAGAACCUGAUGGGGUUCCUUGGCUAGCUCCUGCUUGAGCUUGCUCACGAGCUAACUGGAAUUAAACAUUUAAAAAUAAUGUCAGAUAGGUAAAAUGCCAGCCUACCAGGUAAAGAUACAGUAACAAUAAAUCACAAGGAUGAACCUUCAACUCCUCAGGUAUUGUCCACUUAGACUCCUUUGUAACCUUGUUGUGGUAAUACCUUCAAAAGCAAUCUCUUGAUCACAUAUUGCUCAUGCAAAUAAAAUUUUAACAGACAAGAAAAAGGUGGAUACAACAGGGCAUCUAACAAUAAUCUGUGGGGGGAAAAUGUGAAUGAUAAAUAAAAGCGUAAAACAGAGCUCAAACAUACUUUCUUCCCUCUGGAGUUGUAAAUUCCUUCCAAACAGUGGAUGCAUCAGCUCUCUGUUACAGAAAAAUCAAUAAUUAAGCAAAGAAGUGAAAGUAGUAAUGAAAAGAAUUUCAGGAAAAUAUCAUGACUAUACCAAGGAGUGGUACCAUAUCAGUCAAUGUAAGCUCACCAAGGAAGUUGCCAACAAUGCAUCCAAGCAUAUGAAGAUGGAACAAAUAUAUACAAAAUAGAACGAAUUAUACAUGACCUUGUUAAGAAAGAUUGUUAGUUUCAUCCAUAUGACUCCUCGAAGGGAAGAGGAUGAGUGUAUAUGCAACUAUUCUAUCGUGGUAAAAGAUAACACUAGUACACACAAUGGUUUCAAUUGUAAAAGUCCAAACCUGAAAAGGUAAAGGAAAUGUCAACUAAACAACUCAGCCAUUGCAAUAAGUUAGCCCACGGGCAUGCCAAAGUUUUUGCUCACACAACAGCUAUGCUAGAACCAGUACCAGAGUGCUCUACUUGGCUAGGAUCAAUGUAGGUCAAAGAACCUCCAGCAACAGUCUGUACUAUGAUCCUAAUAUCAAAUUUAUUUAACUCUAAGUCAAAACUAACAGAGAGAAGGAGCAGUUAUCUCUGGUUAGAAUUUGGCUCAAGUUACCUCCAAAUUCUUUUUCCCCUCAUGAAUGUGCUUGGAUUCAUCUAGAAGUCUUAAUUAACAUACUGAUAACAUCAUCUAAAAGUGCAAGCUAACAUCUCAUUUAGUUAAAAAGUAAUAAAAUCCAUCUUCCUCCAGGUCCCAAAUUGAACCUAAAUCUAAAUACUUUACGGUUGCAAAUAGCAAAACCUUUAACAGGGCCAAAUCUUGAGGAUGUUUCCAUGCCAAGUGAGAAACUUAAAUACAUUUUUCAGGGAUUCCUUAACAUCCAAGUCAAUUCACAUUACUACCUCCUUCGCACCUCUAAAAGGAUGAGUAAACAAAUUGUAGAGCCAAUAUGACCAACAAAAAAACAUAUACUGAACAUCAAAUUCUAUUCCAAAGGAACCUUUACAUAAUCACAGCAACAACUAUGAAAACAAAAAGAACUGAUAAAUACAGCAAAAACCUUUGACCCAGCAUCUCAUACCUCUGAAAUCAGUAGCCAAUAUGUACCUGUGGAACUCUCUACAAACAUAUGCUUGCACCAAUGAAACCAUAAAGAAGGAGAAAGGGAACAAGUAAUAACAUUAUUAAACUAGAACAAGAGUAAACAACAAAGAAGUUCGAUUGGAUAGAAAUACAUGAUAAACAGCAUGACAUAUUCCUUUACACCAAUCUAUAAAACUCAUUACUGUACAAAACAUAACCACAUUUGUCUAAAAUAAGAUACAGGAUUAGACAAAUACAUGAACUACCAAAGAGACAAGAAAAGAAAGGGAGAAAUAUAUAGAGGUGACAGAAGUUGAAAAGCAGAUUAGAUAGCCAUGUUAAGAGGGGGAGGGGAUGUAUUACUACCAUCCUAAAACUUCACUAACAGUGCAGGAAAUGAAGAAAAAAAUUGAAAACAGUUAAUACAAGGCACCUAAAUGUCUAUAUAUCUAAUCAUUCCUCAUAAAAAAAUUGCCCCAUAUAAUAAAAAAAAUGUAAAUAACAAAAUGUUGCCUGCCUUGAGAAAAGUGAAGGCCCGCCCUCAAAGUGACCAUUUAGAGCAGUUGUUAAAUUUCUCCAACUUGCCAUGACAUCUACAAACCAAUUCCAAAAGACGCAAAAGAAAGAAGAAUUCGCAUAAAACAUUUUUUAACAAGUUAAGAAUGGCUACAGUCUCAGCAUCCAUUAAAGGGGGCAAUUUGUAUAAAUAGCAUAUCACAACAAAUUCAAGGUUAACAGAUCAUGGAGCAUAAAAAUUUAACAUCAGAAACAGCAACCAGAUACUCAAAUGCCUCACCUCUAUUGGUGUCAUCAGUUCCAGAGGCUUUUCCCAACUAGAUUGCCUUGCCCUUUUGUUGUAAUAGUAUCUGCAGAUAUGUAAAACAGUUAGACACAAACUCAUGAAUGCUAGAUGUCUAAAUAACUAGAAGUUAAAAUCCAAAUAUAUAGCAAAACGUGAGCAAAAAUCACAAUUAUGAGGUACUAUAUAAUGUUACCUUCUUCCAUCAGCUGAUGUAUGCUCUUGCCAAUCAGAAGAUUGCGGAGUAAGGCUAGGAACAUUUGCAUUCUGGUAUGCAAAAAGUGAAGAAUAAAAAAAAAUGAGAUUUAAUAGAAUGGGAACAUGGGAACAACAAGGACAAAUGCAAAAUACAAUGCAAACUAACUUCCAAGAUGCAAACUAAAUUAAAACAUUAUAUUGUUCAAUUUGGAUCAGAAACAAUUUGAGAUUGUGUAAUGCACAUAUGAUUUCUUUUUAAAUGCAAUGUACAGAAACAGAGAAGACUAAACAAAAAACUUAGCCUAGAAAGCCAAAAAUCACUUAAGAGCUUGCAGAAUUUCUUCAAAAAAGGAAAAAGAUAAAAGAUAAACUUUCAUAACAUAAAUUUAUGCCAAAUUCUAGCUAAUGAUAAAAGGAACUAAAGCUCAUAAAAGUACAUAAAAUUCAUAUGUACUCAUUGAAGAAAAAAUUCACUCAAAGCUACCAUGUCAUAUAAACUGCUAUGAUAAGAGAAAAAAAGCAAAAACUGAAGUAUUUAUUAUCCAAUUGUAAAACCGUGGAGAAAAGAUGAAGAUAGGACAAGUCCCAGAGGGUUAAAGCUCCGUGGCCUUUCCUUUUUAAAUUUAUAUUUUGGUUAUAUAUGUCCUCUUUUUCUUCUGAUUUUCCUCUCUCAGUCUUCUUCUCAAGACUGAUCACCUUAGUUAACAAUUUGUACUUCUUAGGCAAGUUCUCACCACAAUUCAAUUUAUCAAUUGAAUGUGUUUCUGAUCAGCAUAACAAAUCAACACUGAAGAGAGUAUAUAACAUUUGAAUUAAACAACGAAAAUUAGACAUGGCAUGACCUCGUUAUAUUUCUGUUUAGCAUACUAUUUUAUAUCCUAGGAAUGAGGACUUACUGUAUCAACAAAUAAACACUGAAGAGAGUAUAUAACAUUUGAAUUAAACAACGAAAAUUAGACAAGGCAUAACCUCGUUAUAUUUCUGUUUAGCAUACUAUUUUAUAUCCCAGGGAUGAGGACUUACUGUAUCAGCAGAAGAAGGUGGAGGUUGUUGGCUAGUAUGCUGUGUUGGUGUAGCAAGUGAAACAUUCUGAUUUCCAGUUGACAACCAAGGUUGCCCUGCAACUGGGGCAACAGGUGCAUGCACUUGAGAUAUAGGGUGAAACUGCGAUGGUGCACUGACAUUGUUCUGUGGCAAGCCGAAAGAAGAUGGCGCAAACUGGGAGAAUAUAAAAACAUCAGAGGCUGUGCAACAUAUUAACUAAAGGGAAAAUAGAAACAUUUGAAUGAGGUCAUACACCAUAUGAUGAAGGGGGCACUCCAGGGACUCCUACACCAGGCAUAUGACUAUUCAAAGGAGGUGCAGAUUGAUGUGACUGAGGUGGUUCAGAUGUAAGAGGCCUGUUUGUUUGACCAUAUUGUACCUGUAUUGGCUGUUGUGAAGGUGUAGAAAGACCAGGCUGAUUUGGCCGGGGUGGAAACUGCUGCAUUGGCUGAGAAAACUGCAUCUGCUGAUUUUGAACAGCUGGCAUCCCAAUAUUUGGAGAAGGAACCUGCCCAACAGGCCGAAACUGUUGGGAAGCAGCUGGAACAAAGUGUUGCCCUUGCUGCGUUGGGACCACUGGUCGAAACUGUAAUGGAAAAUUUCACACACAUAGCAUCUAAUAAAUUGCUCUCAGAAGAUUAAAAACCAUCUAAUAAAAAUGAGUAAAAAGAAAAAAGUGUAGCUACCUGUGAAGAUAACGGAGAGCCAUAACUUUGGGGACCCAUGGAUCCAACUGCAGGAGGCCAAUGUGGCUGGGAAAGAAAGAAGAUAGCCAACAAAUUUAGACAUCUUAGACCUUCAUCUAAAAACUAGAAUAAAGGGGAUUACUUAUGUACUUCAGGCAAAAACAACACCCAUUUCUCACUAAUAUUGAAAACAAUAAUGCCAGUGCCACCAAGAGAGUCUUGUCAAAAUCAUAGCUUGUAAUGUAUACAUUCAAGUUCUUUCAAACUACUUCCAAGAAGAAAAAGAGAACGAUAGGAAAGCCUUAGGCUAUGUUCUUAAAUUUUAAUAAAUUUGAACAGAACAUAGCAACAGUAACCAAGCUUUAACCCACAAAAGACAACAUAAUAUUAGUUAAGGUCCUAGAUUAAAGAAAUGAAGCCAAGAAAAUUAAACCUAAUCAGCAGGCUACCUGGGCACUAGAGGGUUGAGAAUUGUUAGCCAUUCCAGAACAUAUGCAAAGUUUGCCUCAAAUACCUGCAAAAACAAUCAAUUAAUUUAAUAACAAUCACCAAAAAAAGUUGAGACAGCAUCCAAGUUAUCCAUACCCGAAAAUACCAAGAAACAAAUUUACUCCAAAUCAAUCGUAGGAAAAAAAACUGAAAAAAAGAAGCUAAAAUCGGAAUAUUAAUACUAACAGAUAUUAAGUGAAGAUUCAAAGAGUUUCAAUUUGCGAGAAAGCUUGGAUCUCAGUAUCGAAAAUUUAGGUGCUAGGGUUUAAGAGAGGAAUAGGUGGAAAAGAGAAGAAAAAUGCUUCUCUUUUUUUGAAGGGUAGAGUGGAAAAAAAUUGUUUUUCCUUUUGGGGAAAAUUUACUAAAAGGUGAAAUUUUCUUCUUCUUUUUUUCGUUUUAUUACCGGUUUUGCCAAUUAUAUCCUUAUGGUGACGGGUACAGUGUACCCCUCAGCCGGUAAUACCGGUUCGGUUUAGUUCGGCUUGAUCCAAUUUUUUAAAUUUUUUAUUUUAAUUUAGUUUAGUUUUUAUUUUUUUAUAUUUUUUUUAUUUUAGCUUUUUAGACUUGUUUUAACAAAAUAAAGUUUAUUUUAUUACUUUUGAAUAUUAUUUAGUAAAAAAAUCAAUAACUUUUAUAUGAUGUUUUUAAAUAUAUCUUUUUAUAUAAAACUUUUGAGUGAUUUCCACUUUUUUAAAUGUAAUAUCGGGUAAAUAUAAUUUUUUAACUUGCAUUUUAUAAAUCGUCCAAACACUUCGGUUCAAAUUAGUUUGCGGUUUAUUUUCGAUCUUUCCAACCAUAAGGAUGACAUUGUAUGAUCCUAUAACAUUGGCACUGUUGUUAAAAUAUUUCUAAUAUUACAAACAAUGAGUGAUAUUUAAUAAUGCAUAAUUGCUACCUAAGUUACAGGAAAUCAUAGUCUGACAUAACCUUUCUAUGAUAACAUUAUCGUGCACUAAUCUCUUUGUUCGUGAUAUCUAAAUUGAACAUAAAUCAUGGAACAAUCACACUUGUAUAGUUUAAACUUUUAUUUUUUUUGAACCUCGAGUAUGCUAAGACAAACAAAUAAGUCUAGUAUAUCAUAUCAUUUCAUUUAAGCAUGCCAUGUAUUUUUAUUCUUAAUCAAUGGCUCAAUAAAUCAUUCUCAUUAUGUAAGAGGGACAAAUCCUAAUUUGAUCUUUCAUAUCUCGUUAUAUAGAUCGUAAGGUACUCAACAACAGUCUUUAUAGUACUACCAAUUAGUGAAGACAUUUGAUUAUGUCAAUGUAUAUGACUCUUGCAGUUGGAACUAUGACGAGCCCAAGUCUAAUGAUCAUGUAUUUCAUUAUCACUAUGAGAAUUGCUAUGACUAUUACAUAAUAAUCCAAGAAACAUUCUCAUGGUGGGUCAGUCCAGCAUUGCUCCUGUAACAUGUCCUAAUGUGUUGACUUGAUAUCCCACAUCCAUAACAACAUUUUGUCAUCAAUCAACAACGUAUUAGUAUCAAUGCAUUAUUGUUGCCCAAAAGACAUUUCAGAAUAAUCAUAUUAUUCUUAUGAAAUUAUUAUUAAUCGAUUUAUUUAAUACACGGAAAUAAAGAUUGGAAAUAACAAUGACAAUGCAUUUACUAAUAGACUAGGUAAAUAAGUAUACUAUUACAAUCAUCUUAUGAUUGGUCUUUAGGCAUGCUUCAAUAAUCUCUCAUUUGCACUAAGACCAAUCACUCAUGUAUCUAUUCCAAGUAAUAAAGUUUGACUAUCAUGCUUAUGCUUUGUCAAAAAGUACGUUAGUGAAUCUACGAUGUUAACUUAUUGGUACUUUACACAUUUUUACAUCAUUUCAAUCAGGAAUUUCUCAAAUGAGAUGAAAGCGUCUAAGUAAAUGUUUGGAGUGUCGAUGAGAUCUAGAUUCUUUUGCUUGUGCAAUAGCUCCACUGUUGCCACAAUAGUCUUAUAGCAUCUAAUAUGCUAGAUACAUCUCCUAGUUAAGUAAUGAACUUUUUAAUGCAAACAACCUCUUUUGUUGCCUAAUUGGCUUCAAUAUACUUGGCCUUUAUUGUACUACCAUUAAAGCAAAAUCGACAAUCCAAUUGUGAUCUAGAAUCGCCAUUAUCGAGUUGGAAGCCAGCGUCAAUGUAACCUUUUACACUUAGCUCUUCUUCACCUCCAUGUAUCAAUAAUGUAUCACUAGUUAUUCUCAUGUACUUAAAGAUAUUUUUAACUGUAGUCUAAUGACCUUCAUCGAGAUUUACUUAGUGCUUACUCAUCAUGCUUAAAACAUAUGAAUCAUUUAAACGAGUACAUAACAUGACAUACACAAUAAACCCAACAACAAAUUCAUCGAGAUUUACUUAAGUGCUUAGUCAUCAUGCUUAAAACAUAUGAAUUAUUUAAACGAGUACAUAACAUGGCAUACAUAAUAAACCCAAUAACAAAAACAUAUGGAAUGUCACUCAUGCGUUCUCUUUCUUGUGGCAUUAAAGAACAUAUUUUCUUCGAGAGAGAAAUUUCAUGUCUCAUGGACAAAAAUCUUUUAUUGGGUUAUUCCAUGUUGAAUUGUUUUAGUGCUUUGUUUAUGUACGUGCUUUAGCUCAGACAUAUGAGUUGUCUCAAUCUAUCUAUAUAGAUUUUUUACUCCAAAUAUUUAAGUGGCCUGAUUGAAGUCUUCUCCCCCCCCCCCCCAAUGGUAAAAUUACUAUAUAAAUCUCUUAAAAAGUUAAUAAAUUAUAAAUUAAGACUUUAUGUAAAUAAUAACGCUUGACGAAUUAUAAGGAAAUUAAACAUUGAGGAGGUUCAAGUAACUUCAACAUGGCAUAAUUGUUUUUAAUGUGGUAUAUAUCAACAUACAGGAAAAUAUAUCAUUGGGAGUGUGAGUUUAUACCUUCAUCGGCAAAACUUGUCCCAUUUCCUCGAAAAUGGGAAUAUACAACCCAAUUUGAUCAACAAAUGCAUUUCAAAAGGCAUAUAUGGUGGGUAAAAUUACCACAAAAUCCAUUAUAUUAUAUUUUGGAUUGCAUUUUAGUCUAUUGAAAAAAUGAAUAAAUAGUCUCUAUACAUUAGACUAGUGAGUAUAAUAGCUCAUUCGUUCCCUCAGUUAAAUAUUUAUUUUGGUGUUUAUAUAUAAAGUAUAAUGACAAAUUUAGCCCCCAAUAUUUAUUAAUUUAUUCAUUUUGACCCUUACUUUUUUAUUGGAAGUAAAUUAGAAAUUUUGAAACAAAUAAGUCUAAAGGGUAAAAAAAGACUUAGAAACAAAUUUUUAAAAAUAAUAAUACUGACCCAAUAAAAGAGCAGGAGUCAGAUUUUUAUUAAAACCUUAUAACCAUUAGAUUUUAAUGGGUCGGUAUUGUUAUUUUUUAAUAAAAAAGUUAUAAUUUUAAAUUUUUAUAAAUUCUUUGUAACUUUUGUUUAUAAUUUUUAUAAUUUUAAAAAGACUUAAUUAUUAUUUUUUAAUUUGUUAAGAAAGUUUUUUUUGACUCUUUAAUUUUAUUAAACUUAAAUUUUUUUAUUUUACUUCCAAUAAAAAAAAACUAAAAACUCCAAUAUCAUACAUUACCAUCUUGGAAUUUAGUAGGAGAGUUGUGGUUCGUUUCAACAAGUCCACUCAUCUUAUCCUAUAAGCAUAUUUUCAACCUUGCAAAAUGAAAUUAUUUUCUCUCGAAAAUUGAGGUCUACAUUUUUGCUAAUAAAUUAAUGUCUUGAAUUCUAAAGAAUUUUCUUUUGAUUUUUUUAGGUUAUAUCAAAUACUAAAGAUUGAACAGCUUGAACUUUGUGACAUCAAAUGAUAGACCCAACUAGCUCUCACAAGUCACAAUCAAUCCACCCUUUGACCCCGUCUUGUACGUUAAGAAAUGUUUAAUUAUCAUUCCCAUCCUUUUACUCUUUAGACUUUUAAAAUUUAAUCCAUCUACUUUUUAUUUUACAAACUUAGUCUCCUUAACAUUGUUAGAUGGACUUCUAUUGAAUUUGAGUAUAUGUUAUCCAUUGGAUAUUAAUUUAUAAAUUAGACAUUUGAAUAUAAAAUAUCACAAAUUCAAAUUUGAUGAAAGUCUAUCAAUAAUACUAUCAACUGGAUUUUAAUUUUUAAAUCGGACAAAUAAAGUAAUUAAAUUUUUAUAAUUAAAAUUAGAAAAUAUUAAAUUUUAUAAUUAAAAUUUUCCCAUUUUGAUAAACUUUUUUAAUAUUUAGCUUAUUAUAAUUUUUAAAAUUUACAUAAAAAUAUAUUUAUCAUAAAAAUCAAACUUCGCUUUGGUUAAAAUCUUAGAUAUAAAUCACAUCACUUGAGAUUAUUGUUUUAGAUUUAUUUUGGGUUUAAAUUAUUUUUUAUAGAUUUUAUACAUAAUAACACCCUCAUGUAAAAUUAUUCGUUGAUUUGUUGAUUUGUAAAAGGAAUAAGUUUUUAAUUAAUUUUCAACUUAAUUAAUAUCCAGUUGAGUCGUGAUUUCAAGUCAAGUAACACUCGUGGUUGUUUGAGCAUGACAAGACAAUUAGAUCGAUUGGUUCGAAAACUAGUUAGGGUAUCAAUUCGGAGAAAGGCAUUGGAUUAGUUGAAUCAAGAAUCAAUAUGGAUCAAAUUAUUUUAUGAACUAUUAAUGAUUUAUUUAAUUAAACCGAAAGGAACGAUAGAACUGACAAAUCGAUAACAUGCCCGAUUUGAUCAACCAUCCAAUUCUAAAAAUGUUUAAGCCAUAUGAUACAAUAAAAGAAGAAAACAAACUAAGACAACUUCCAAGAAACUCAAAACACACACACACACUACAACAUCCCUCCAUCUUCAAAACAAACCCAAAUUAAUCAAUAUCUCUCUCAAUAGGAAGUUGAGAAACCCUAACUAAACUAUCAUCCCUAACACCACAAGAUCCUUUACAAGCAAAACUAAAGAAACCCUUCUUCAAAACAAACCACCCUCUUCCUUUUUUACCUUUGUUGCUCCCUUUGGUACACUCUUUAUAUGCUGCUAAAAAAGGGUCAUCACCAUCAUCAACACCACUUCCCUUUGAACAAGUUCUCAAAGGGGGUUGAAAAACACAAGGUGGGAGAGGGAUAUCAAUGUAAUGCAUCGGUACCUUAGCGCUUUCUAGUCGACAUGGAGGUGGUGGUAGCUUUUUUUGUAGAGUGUAAUGAUCAUCACCUUCUUUAAAGGAUUGUAAUAAUUGGGGUGUUUCUUUGGAUAUACCUGGCUUGUUUUCCCAUGAGAAGGGCACGUUUCCUUGAGAUUGAUUCAUUUUUUUUGGGGGGGGGGGUGGACAAGAAAUGGAUUUGGUUUAAGGAUGUUUAUAAUAAAGGGGUUUUCCUGUAUAUAUGAUCACAUAAUUUCCUUGUAUAUAAGAUGUGAGAAAAUUGCUCGUAGAAGACCAAGUCAUAGGAGUCUAUAUCAUAGAAUAACUGGUAAUGGAGAAGAAACACUUUGGUCACUGCUUUAUCUUUGCAUUAUUUGCCGCCUUUUGUACGUUAUGAAUUUGACCUCAUUUGAUUUUUAGGCUAAACUACACCUAAGGUCGUUAAACUACUAGUAAGUUUAUAUUUUGAUUACUCAACUUUAAAAAAAUAUAAAAUAGUCAUUGAACUAUUCAAAAAUUUUCAUUUAAGUCACUAAACUAUUUGAAAGCUUUUAUUUUAAGUUAUUGGGUUGUUAAGUUUUUAUUCUUUCUAAAGUUUAGUUAACGAGCUCCAAGUGAUAAUUUGACGAUUGGUGCGAUGAAUCAAUAUCUAUCGUUUUUAUUCUUUUUAAAGUUUGGUUAACGAGCUCCAAGUGAUAAUUUGACGAUUGGUGCGAUGAAUCAAUAUCUAUCGAUGAGUAAAAAAACAUACGUUAAAUCCAAGUUGAUCUGACAGUCAAUAUCAUCAAAGAUCGAAGAAGAAAGCUAUUUGGAUUUUGGUUCAUAGAUUUGUGACGUUCAAAACUGGUUCAUAAAAUAAAAUCUAAAGUAGAGAAGAGAAAGGGAAGAAGAGUUUUCAAUUGGUGUAGGUUGUGCAAACAAAGAAGGCUACAAUACAACAACGAUUUUAACAGCCUGGUGAUUUAAAAGAAAACUUUUGAAUAAUUUAAUAAUCAUUUUGUAAUUUUUUAAAAUUAACCGACCAAAACAUAAAUUUACUAAUCGUUUAAUAGAUUGAUUUUAGGGUGUAACAGUUAACAUAAUAAAAAUCGCGUACGUUCUAUAGCUAACGCGCUUUCCUUUUACAACAAAUGCUUGUGCUUUCUACUUAUUAUAUGAUUUAAGUUCAAGUUCUAUUCCAUGUUUAUUUGAUUUUUUUUUUCUAAUGCAUGUUGUUACAAGCCUUUUUUUUAAUUUUAAUUAAUGAUUUUUUAUUAAUAAAUAUGUUAUUUUCAAGAUUUUAAUUAACAAACAUGUUUUUUAGUUUUUUAUUUUAUUUUUAAUUUAUAUUUUUAAUUAAUAACUUCUUUAUUUAUAUAGACAAAAUAAUAAAUAUGUAAUUAUAUAAUAAAAAAUAUAUUUUUUAUAUUUAUCAUUAUGUUAAAUAUAUUUUAUUUUUCAAAAAAUAUCAACUAAUUUUUAUAUACUUUUCUUUAUAUAUACUUUUUAUAUGUUAAAUAUUUAUUUUUUCAUUAUGUUAAAUAUCAUAUAUGAUAUUUGAAAUAAUUAAUUGAUUGUUUAUAUUAUAAUUUAUCAUAUCCACAAUGUACGUGAAAGAAUAAUAAUAUUUGAAAUAAUUAAUUAAUUUUUUAUUUUAAAACUUACGGUAUGCAUAAUGUACAUAAAAAAAAAUAUUUGACAUAUAAAAAAAUAUAUCAAAAAUAUUUUUUUAAAUAAAAUAUAUUUAACAUAAUAAUAUAUAAUAUAUUUUCAUUAUAUGUUUACAUAUUAUUGAUUAUUUUAUUUAUAUAAAAAAAUUAUUAAUUAAAAACAUAAAUAAAAAAUAAAAUAAAAUUUAAAAACUUGAAAAUAACAUGAUCAUUAAUUAAAAACAUUAAUUAAAUUUAAAAGAAAAAAACAUGAAACAACAUGCUUUGGAAAAAAAAUCAAAUAAACAUGAAAGAGGACUCUGGGACAUAAAGUAGAAGCAUUUAACCAUCAAACAAUAGAUGAAAAACACAUUUGGUAUAAAGCACUUUCCGAAAAAUGCUUUUUAUAGGACGCAUUUUUUGUUAUAUUAGUUAUCACACUCUAAAAUCGACUUAUUUUUUUAAAUAUCAAUCUGGACUUGUUAAUAAUAUUAUCAGUUUAACGAUAGUAAUUAAAGAUAUUAUCAAUUUGGACUUACUAAUAAUAUUAUAAAAUUAUAGACCAAAUUAUAUGAAAUUAAAGUAAAAAAGAUUAAACUUCAAAUUUCAAUAUAACAGAGGUACUAAUACCAAAAUUAAACACUUUCAUUUCUAUUAUUUGCCGCCUGUUAGCACUUUAUGGCUCAAGACUCAUAGCCUAAUGACAGAUUUUAUUAUUAUUCUUAUGAAAGUAGAGAAAAUUAGUGUAUAUAAUAUAGGGUAAAUUAAAAAAAUAGUUACUUUUGUUUGCCUCAUAUUACAUUUUACUUACUUAUGUUUGAAAUGUUACGUUUUAGUCACAUACGUUAUCGUUUUGUUACAAAGUGGUCAUUCUACCAUUAAGCUUCGUUACCUCCCUAACAGCGGUCUUACGUGGCAGUCCAAAUGGGCUUUAAAUGCCAACUUGGAUGUCCUACGUGGUAGUCCAAAUUAAAAACUUAUUUUCAUCCCAGCAAUUGAACAUCCAAGUUGGCAUUUAAAACCUAUUUGGAUUGCCACGUAGGACUGUCGUUAAGGAGGUAAUGGAGUUUAACAGUAGAAUGACCACUUCGUAACAAAACAAUAAUGUAAGUGACUAAAAUGUAACAUUUCAAACAUAAGUGACUAAAAUGUAAUUUGAGGCAAACAAAGUGACUAUUUUUGUAGUUUACCCUAUUUAUAUAUAUAUAUAUAUGCCAAUUUGCAUUUUACAAGUUGAAUUAACAUAAACUUUAUUCGAGGGCGGAAACUCAAUCAGGCAGCCACAAAAUUUGACAAAUAUCUUCAAUUUGGCUUUAAAUAUUGUAAACCAGUACAGCUUAGACCAUAGUUUAAUUGGUAAUUUGAUUUUGGGUUAUUUGCAUUUAACAUCCUUAAACUAUAAUUUAAUUUUUAAUUUGAUUCUUAAACGCCAAUCAUGCCAUACUGUCAACUUAACCAUAAAUUUGGAUCCUACAUGGAGUAUUUUCAAAAUACAUGCUAAUCAAAUUCUAAAUAUGUCUAUAUCUAUGGUGUGAACAACUUAAAUAUAGUCAAUGUUAAUAAAAAUUAGGGACUAUUUUUUUAACAUGCUAGAUCGAAGCAGUUAAUGUAGGUAUACAUGUGUUUGUAACUUAACUUAUGUGUUCUAAAUACUCCUAUUCGAGCUGGCGUUUAACGUCCAAACUUAUGGCUAAUGGAAAGAUUUGAUUGAUGCGAAAUAUUCCUCAAGCCGACAAAUGCUCCCCUAACUUUGAGAACUCAAUUAGCAUAUUUUGAAAUUUGGAUUUUUUUUUUUUGGUGGUGAUUUGGGUAUCUAUUUUAAAAUCUAUGCUAUAGUUUUUUUCGAGGGGGUUCUGAUGCAAUUAGCCCUUAAAAAUUUGUAAACCAGUACCAUUCAGACAAAAGUUCAACUGGGAAUUUGAUUAUCAUACUUCCAUAUUGUAAGAAAAAAAUGGCCACAUCAUAUACAAACAAGAUUAAUUUUAGGUUAAAUAUGCCAUUAGUCAUUGUACCCUUCAUGAAAUGAGAAUUUAAUCCUUAUAGUUUUGUUUCUAGAAAUUUAGUCCCUCUACUUUUCAGAUUUCAGAAUUCAGGCCCUACCGUUAACAGUGUUAUGUACAUUGUCAAAUUCAUAUUUAUUACCUCAAAUUUUUAGUUACAUGGCUACUGAGUCAGUAAAAAAAAAUUAUUUCAAAAUAUCACGCUAACAAAUUUAACAAAAAAAUUUUAAGAAUUAGACCUAAAAUGUGAAAUCUUAAAAGUAGAGGGACUGAAUCCAUAAAAAUAAAAAGUAUAAGGACUAAAUUUUAAAUUUGUGAAGGGUGACAUUUUAACCUUUUAACACGCUGUCCAUUCAAUUUUUGCAAAUCAACCCUGUUUUUUCCUUUCAAACACCGACACACUCUUAACAUUACAACUACUAACAUUACACGAAUACUUACACGACAGAAUAAACAUGUUUUUCUUGUUCCUAGUCUUGCAUGUCCCGUCGACUUUGUCAUCGGUACCCCUACCCCCCGACUUAUCGUUCGUUGAGUACUCCGUGCAUUUCCUAAAUGCCGCCACAAAAGGGUCUUCCUGCUUAUUGCCGUUGUUAGCAUUACCCUUCUUUUCCGAACUACUCGGUGGUGUCUGAAGCUGGCAUGAUGGAAGAACGCCGUUCAAGUCGUCGACACAAAACCGAGCACUCUUCGACAAACAAGGAGGAGGAGGCAAAUUUACUCUCACAUGUCGGAGACUGAUACUGCGUUCUUCGCAUGUCACCUUUGAGACCCCGGGUUUGAGUUCCCAUGAAAAAGGUACAUUAGCAUUGUGACUCAUUUUUUUGUUUUGAUACUAACAACACUAAGGUUUGAUCAUAAUGUGUUUUUAAGCCUAUGAUCAGUUGCUAAUGUUCCUUUAAAUGUGUGUUAGCUUUUAAAUUAAUAAAGCAUAUUAGACAAAUUUUGUAUUUUAUAUGAAAGAAGUCCCCAACGGCUUGCAUGUUUACAUCAUGAAGAAAACGUAGAAAUGGUGCUAAUGAAUUACAAUUUAUUUUUUAAACUUAAAAUAUGCCACACGUCCUUAUAUUUUCAUAAAUUUAGAAUUUAGUCUCUUUACUUUUUAGAUUUUAAAAUUCAGGUUCAAUUGUCAACACAACUUUUUUUUUGUUAAAUUUGCAGGUGUGACAUUUCGAAAUAAAAAAAAUACUCAAUUGGUAGCAAUGUAACUAAAAAAAUGGCUUUGUAAUAAACUUGAAUUUAAUAAAAUAAUUUUAACAGUGUUAACAAUUGGAUCUUAAAUUUGAAAUCUGAAAUCUGAAAUCUGAAAAGUAUAGGGGUUAAAUUCUUAGAAAUCAAAGUGCAUGGACUAAAUUCCAAAUUUACAUAUAGUACAACGGCUUCUGGCAUAUUUUGACCUUUUUAAUUAUAUUUUGGUUAAAACUGUUAGUCCCUGUACUCUAAUUUACAAAUCUCAGUCCAAUCAUUAAAGUUCAUAGGUAUUUUCUAUCAAAAUUUGUCAAAUUGGCAUGUUGAUUUAGCUUUCCUCAUGUAACGUGUCAUAUGAUUGACGAAAAAUAAAAAUGUUAAGUCGACAAUUUUUAACAUAAACUAUCAAUGGCGAUAAUGAUUAGACUAGGAAUUUUAAAUUGAAAAAAUAAAGAAACUGAAUUUUUUUUAACUCUUAAAGUACAGAGACUAAAUCUCAAAUUCUAUACAAAUACAUGGACUAACAACAUAUUUUAACAUAUUUAUUAUAUUUUAAUUCAUUUUCGUCUUUUAUAUUUUCUAAAUAUAUUAAUUUAUAUAAAAUUUUAAAUAAUUAUAAACUCAAUUCAACUAGUUAAACCGAAAAUAUAACAACAUCUCUAUGGAAGUAACAAGCCCUCCUACGCUACCAAAUUGCUAUGGUACCCCGUUCUUAGUAUGCAUGUUAAUUUGUAUGUAUAAAGAAAACUGACAGAAAAUAUCUAAAUUAAGAUUUCUUAAUUGGUCCUCAAUGAAGUAUAUAUUUAUAAAAUGUAGGUUGUUACAUGCCCAUCUUGUUCCCUAUCUAUAAAGGGUAAGGGUUGUCCACAGAUUAAACUCGAGAUUGAUAUUUAUUGAAGAUACGAACAAAUUUAACCAGACCUUGUUAAUUAAAAACAAGAUUAAAAAACAUUUCAUAACUUCAUGUAUUUUUCAAAAAUUUAAAAUUUAGUCCUUAUACUUUUAAUUUUAGGAAUUCCCAGAUUUCAAAAUUCAAAUUAAACUACUAAAAUUGUUAAGUUUUUUUUUUGUUAAAUUCGAGUUCAUUAUAAUAACGAAAUUUUAGUUACAUGGCUACCAAAUGAGUAUUUUUUAUUUAUUUCAAGAUGUCACACAAAUAAAUUUUGAAAAGUAGAAUACCUAAAUGUCUGGAAAUAAAAGUACAGUGACUAAAUUUCAAAAAUUUAAAAGUAUAGAGACUUAUGGCAUAUUUUUAACCUAAAAAUAAUAAUGUGUUUAAGCCUUUAUUUCUUUACCAUUUUGAGCAAGAUUUUUAGAAUCGAAUUGGGAACCAGUUAGACCACUAGUUCGGUUAAAAAUCAUUAAAAUUCAUAAAAAAAAAAGUUUAACCAUUAAUUCAACUGAUUUUUUUAGUCCGAUUCAAUUAAUUUAUAUCGAUUCGUGAGUCAAUCGACUCAAUCUAUUGUUCUGAACUGAUACCUCAAUCUACUUCAAAUUCGACCAACUAAUCUGAUCCAAUCCGAAAAUCAUGAUUUUGAAAAAUGUCCAACACUAAAAUUUGGCAAUCUUAACACCCAUCUCUCUCUCUCUUUCUGCUUGUGUGUCGCUUUUGCCUUCAAGAUGGGCAAACACCAUAAGGCAAAAAAUGGGUUAUAGGGUAUACUAUUAGCUUAACAUGUGUGUUUUAGGGUUAAGUUGAAUUGAGUUUAAAGCAAAAUUAUUUAUUUAUCAAGAUUUGGGUUUAAGUUAAUGCGAUUUGAUAACUUGUUUUUGUUAUUUUAAAAUAUUAAAAAAUUGUUUUAUAUCAAUAUUUAUAUACAUGGCAGUAACCAUUAUUAUUCGUAUAUAAAAAUUUAAUUUUAAAUCAAAUUUAAUUUAAUCCGAUUUAAUCAUAAAAAUUAAAACAACCUAAACCCAAAAUAAUCAUCAUCUUAAUUGAUCCGAGCUCUAAUUAUAUGUCCUAAAAUGAUUUGAAAUUGAAGUGGAGAAAACUUUAAAAAUUUAUCAUUUUUAGGAGGGCAAAGUACAAUUUUACUUUUAGUAAUUUAAAAUUUUUAAAAUUUCAAAGGGUCUAAAUAUAAAUUUUUCUAUUUUAGGGGGUCCGGGGUCCUGCCAACCUCCCUAGUUUCGCUCCUGAUACUAUGUCGACCUUAAAGUAUGACAUUUUUCUUAAUGUAUUUUGAUAUAAUAAUCUCUAUUAUAGAUUUUAAUUAUAUCUGCUAUUUUUAAGAUUAUACCUAAAAUUAGGCAUAAAAUUUUUUCAACUCAUAAAUGGAAGGAUAAUGCAUUUCAGCACAUUCAAACCUAUGUUCUCCUGCAUUGACAAUAAUGCCCAUGCUACUCGAGUUAAGACUCAAUUCACGAUGGCCUUUCAAUUUAUAUAUAUUUUUUAUUUUUUAGAUUUUUUUUACAAUUGUUUUUUUAAAAUAGAAGGUUUAUAAUAUCAUUAACCACCAAAGAGUACACACAUAAAAAGGCCCCAAAGCCUUGGAAAGUAAUACAACAAGAACAUGGGCUAACCAGGCCCAGCCCAAACCUGAAAUAAGCAAACCUUAGCCACAUAAACUUCCGGCCGUCAUUGCUGAUAACGGGGAAGGGAAGGGGAUGGCUGGAGAGAAUAGAUCCAAAAGGGCUGACGAACAUAUGACUGGCAAAUCCACUGCCGAGGAGGGGCCAAAGCCUAGGACUACCGUCGCCUCCGUUGAGCAUGUCGGGGACACCGACGGCUGUAGAUCCAACGCUUUCGAGAGGGCAUUAGCAACCGACCGGCGAGGGCAUCGUUUAACUCGAUCGACAUCACCAUGUGCGAGCCGUCAAGGCCAAAUAGCGACGGUGUGCCGCCGUGCGCAGUGACCUUGCUGGAGGGUUCAAAACAAAAGCCGAGGAAACUGAAACUAGUCCAGCGGUAGGAAAAGAGGAAGAACCCUUGGGGGGAAGUAAGCCGCCGCCUUUUUCCGAAUACCUUUUUCCCCUGUAAUAAAAAAAUUCAAAUUACAUUCAAGGAUAAAAAUUAGAUAAUGUUUUUAAAAUUUAAUAAUUUCUCUGAUGGUUGAAUCGAUCGUACCAUCGGUUUUCAGUUGAUCAGUUUAAUUGCUUUAUCUAGUUUAAUUAAAUAAAUUCAUAAUUUAAAAAAAUAGAGAAAGUUGAUUCAAUUAAUUUUAUUAAUCCAAUUUAAUUAGUUUAUACCAGUCCACAUGUCAAUCGAUCCAACUCUUUACUUUAAACCGAUACUUCAAUUAAUUUUUGAUCCAUCUCAAUAAAUCAAUUAGGUCCAAAAAUUUUAAGUUAUUUCAAUUUAAGUUUAUUAUAGAUUUUGAUCAUUUCAAGUUUAGGUCAAUUUGAAUUUAGAUUUUUCGGAUCGAUGAAAUAUGUUUAGAUUAUCCAGAGUUUUGGCUAUUAAAAUUCAAAUUGUUUUGAGUUUAAAAUAUUUGAUGUUCGAGCUUUACUUGUAUAUUUUUAUAAUACAAUUGAAUUGGAUCGAAUUUAUAUUUAAAUGGACUAAAUUGUAAUUUUUGAAUUCGAAUGAUACUCUUAAGGGUAAUUUAUUUAAUUGGUCAUCCAAUUUUUAGGUGUUUUCAUUUUUGUCACCUAAUCGUUAAAUCUCUAAUGGCGGUUGGCUGUACACACCAAAUUAUGUUUAAACUUUUAUUUUGGUCACCCAACUUCUAGGUCGCUUUCAUUUUGGUCACUUAAAAGAAAACCAUUUUUAGAGAAAAAAAAACAUCAUUUUUUAAGUAUUGAUGGGGUAAAAGUUUAAGGACUAAAGUGAAAAAGUGGUUGAAACUAAAAAUAAUGUAUUAAAAUUUGUCAAAUUGUACUUGUUUAUCACAUUGCCAAAAAUAAUAUAUUUUUUUAAAUAUUGAAAAUUUAAAUUCCAGAACAUCAAAAUAAAUUAAAUAAAUUCUUGAAAACUUUUUAUCCCUUCAUAACACCAAUUGAUUUAUUACUAUAAUAUUGAAAUUAAUUAAACUAACCUCCUUCUAAGUUUUAAAAUUUUAUUUUAUGUUUUCAUAUUAUUGCUAAUGAAAUAAACUCAAAUCAAUCAUAUUUAAUAUUUGCUUAUGUUUGGUUAUAUAAUCUCGAAUAUUCCAUGCUAAGUUCAAAGUAAAGAAAAAUCAUGACAAUUAAUUAAAUUAACUACUCGUUUUCCGUCUGGGUAAGGAAGUGAUGAAAACAAAUUCUAGGUUUUAUUUGGCACAAAAGAUAAAAUUAAUUAAUUAAAUUAAUUGUAAGGAUCUUUCUUUACUUUUAGCUUUAGUAUGAAAGACUCGAGAUAAUAUAAUCAAAAGAAAUUUGAGUUUUAUAGACAAUUAUUAAAGAUAAGUUAUUUGAGUAGAUUUUAGUUUGGAAACAUAAAAUAAAAAUUUAAAAUUUAGAAGGAUAUUAAUUUAAUUAAUUUCAAUUUUACAGUAACAAUUUAGCUAACAAGGGAUAAUUUUUUUCAAUAAUUUAUUUAAUUGAUUUUGAUUAUUUGAAAUUUAAAUUUUCAAUAUUGAAAAAAAAUUAAAAAUUUCAAAAAGGGGUAAACAAAUACAAUUUGACAAUUUUUAAAGUAUUAUUUUAGUUUCUACCGUUUUUCCACUUUAAUCUUUAAUGUUUUUUACCCCAUCAAGACUUAAAAGAAUGAUAUUUUUUGGGUGACCAAAAUGAAAGCAACAUAGAAGUUAGGUGAUCAAAAUGAAAGUGCAUGUACAGUUAACCGUUGUUAAAGAUUUAAUGGUAGGGGGACUAAAAUAAAAGCGUCAUAAUAGUUGAAUGACGAAAUUGCAAGCAUUUCAUUUUAGGUGACCAAAAUGAAAUCUCCCUAAAAGUUGGAUGACCAAUAGGUAGUUUACCCUACUCUUAAUUGGAACCGCCCAUAACCCGAAUGAGUCAUUAAAGGACGGAGAGGAUCCGAAACUGGAUCCGGUAAUCGUGCCCACAAAAGGAGCAAAGAUUAUAGUUUUCAAGUAUUUUCGUGUUUUACCCUUCUCCAGCCGUUUGGCGUUCAGGUUUUUUUUUCUUUUCCAGAACUACCCUUAGGGUUUUUUUCUUUGCUCGCUCUUCUUUAACAGCAAACCGGAAGAAACCUCCGAUUCCGACGACUUCCUCUCCUAAUAAUUUCUGAUCGGCUCAAUAUGGCCGGAUCCGGAGCCGGAGAAGGCCCGACCCUGAUAAAGCAACUCGCGGCUUGCGACAAGUCGAGCCGUGACAGAGCCGUACGGUCUCUCCUCGAUGGGUGGCUUCCUUCACAGAGUGAAGUCUCCGAUGAAGAGAUGAAAAGGCUGUGGAAAGGUCUCUUCUACUGCGUUUGGCACGCCGACAAGCUGCCCGCUCAGACCGACCUCAUCAACAAGCUUUCCUCGGUUCUGCCGAAGCUCGAACCCGGUCUAUCUCUCCAAUACUUCUCCGUUUUUCUUCUCACCAUGCGUCGUGAGUGGACCGGGAUUGAUAAGUUAAGGUUAGAUAAGUUUUACCUCUUAAUUCGUAGGUUUUUGAAUUGCUUCUUUGUUAUGUUGAAGAAAUCGUCGUGGGAUUUGGAUUUUAUGCGUCGUUCGAUUAGGGUUUUAGUUGAUGGUACAUUUAUAGCUGAUGAUAAGUUUCAAGGUAAUGGCGUUAAUUAUCACAUUGCUUCGAUUUUUCUCGAGGAAAUUAGGCCCUUUUUUCCAUUAAGAAAGGAGGUUGUUGAGGUUCUAUUGGAACCGUUUGUUGGAAUCUUGGGGAAAGUGGGUGAUAAGGUUUUGGUUGGGAAGAUAAGGAGCAAUGUCUUUGAUGUGCUUGUUAAGACGGGAAGGAGAUUGCUGGAGCUUAAGCAGUCCGGUGAUGAGGUUGAUGAAAGCGAUGAUGUAGUUGUGUUCGGGACGAUUGGUUUAGUGAUGGGGUUCUCUACAAAGUUCUAUGAAUUGGGUUCUUCAGUAGAUUGCUGUCAGGGUAAUAGAAAGGCUGUGUUGGCAUUACAUGAGGAAUUCUUGAAGUUGGAGAAGGAUUUGACGUCAUUGGGUAUUGAUAUUUCGAUUCCCGAGGGUAAUGAAGGCAAUGAAGAAGAUGAGGUACCUGAAUUGAUACCUGUUGGUGGUGAGACAGAUGCGAAUGUUUCAAAUGAUGUUUUGGAGCCAGUUGAAGUUAAUAUUACCGGUUCUGCGAAGAAGGCCACAAAGAAAAGCAAGAAGGCCAAAAAGGCAACUGGGGACAAUGGUAAAAAGACUAAGAAAAGCAAGAAAACUGAAUGUAGCCCUGCAGAUCAGGAGAAUGAUGUUAAGUUACCUGCAGAGGUUGCCAGUUCUAAUAUCGAGCAGAAUGGUGAUGGGGAUUCUAUAACAUUUACGGAAUCAGUGAUUUCAAACCUUCAGCUCCAGUUUGAGAAGGUUGCCGCAGAAGUGGGUUUGAAUAGCAAUGUUGCAACUGCCUGUGAUUUACCAAAAGUUAAUGGUGCUGUCUCCAAGAAGAGAAAGAGAGCAAAGGGUGCGAGUGGCCGAAAACCUCAGAAUGGGGAGCUAACUGGUGAAGCUGAUGGUGAAGGAGAUGGAACUGCGAAAACUUGCGAGAAUAGCACAAAGAGGGUAAGAUUUUCAAUGAAAAGCAAUCUGGUUUGGAAGCCCCACAGUCCUUUACCUCCAUUAAGUUUGAGGUUACCUCCCUCUGUUACUCCUAGAGGAAGUGCUCUUAAGCAAGGAAUUCCUCCAGGUCCUAUAAAGGAAAUGGCUCCUAUGACUAAGAAGGGAAAGAAAGCUAAAUCUGUGAAGAAGGCUCGGAAAGUGAUAAAGAGUAUGUAUCCUCUAGUCAAACGCACAAAGAAAUUGAAAUCUACUUCCUCUUAGCAGAGUCUGCUCAAGGGAAAUGCCUCCUAUGUAUAAGAUGGUGAAGAAAACUAAAUCUGGGAAGAAGGCUCAGAAAGUGAUAAAGAAUGUGUAUCCUCUAGUCAAACGAACGAAGAAAUUGAAAUCCAUGCCCUCUUAGCAGAGUCUGCUUUGUGAGUUUCUUAUGUGGAACAAGUUUUAUAUGCUUAGUCAUUAAAAUUCUUCUAAAUUUGGCAGUCUUUGUCUUGUUUUUCUCUGUUUAAACCUUCCAUAAGACAUGUUAUAUUUACUUGGUAGACCUUUUGGUCUAUGAAUUCUGAAGUUGAUUGUGAUGAGAAGGUGAUUUAUCCAUGAGUGAAAGAUGGAUUGAAUUAAUCUUUGGAUUCUGAAGUUUGCCGUGAUGAGAAGGUGAUUAUUUAUCCAUGAGUGAGAUGGAUCAUGGAACUUCGAUUGAAUUAGUCUUUGCUUUCUGGUGGACAGUAUUACUUCAUUGCUGCUCAAAUUUUCUAGCGUAUAUUUGUUGCUUUAUGUUUUCUUAUAUUUGUGACCUUAGUUGACUAAUUUGGUAAUAGAGCUCUUCUUUAUUCAUAACCAUUCUCAUUGAUAUGAAUCUGGUAGCUUAUGUUGAGGAUUUAUGAACUUUUCAACCUUCCUCAUGUUCUAGGACAUGUAAUCUUUACCUCUUCCCUUCUGUUUCACUAUGUUCAAAUUUAAUUUUCCUUAAAUAUUAUUAUAUUAGCCUUUCACUUCUGUAAUUUUUCGAGUCAUGUUACCUCUUACCAUGUGAAUCACCAUCAUCAUCUCUCACAACUCACAAAGGGUUAAAUGUCUUAACAAUCGUUGUCUAGGAUUUAAGUUGGAAAUGGAAAUUGCCUCCGCUUCUUUGUUGAACAGUAACUUUCACGACCCCAUAGACUGGCCAGGUACUCUUCACUUCCUCAUAGUGUGUCAAUGUCAUGACCGCAAUCUUAGUAUUGUCCUCUUUGGCUCAAGCUUGGGGACUCGCAUCUUAGGAUGAUCCAAAGAAAAGAAUACUGGUAACGUACAUGAGCUCCCAAAUGGAGAGGGCUUGGGCACAAAUCCUCGAGAAAUCAAUGGACAACCGAAAAAGACGAAUACCGAUUUAUGGGCACAAAAUCAUUGCAUAAGGAGGAGAGGAAGCAAGCAAAGGUAUUGAAAGCUGAAACCCCUCUCUUUUCUUGCAAUGCAUAAAAUUCACCUCUAUCCUAUAGGCCAUAAUAAGUCCAUUAUUGUGUCUGUGGUUACAAAUAUCUUUAUUUAAGUAAUUAAUACUUGCCCACUGGUUCUGGUCAAUUCAUCAUGGAAAUAAUACAUAGAGAGGGACAAUCAUGGCAGUGUAAUUAUUAAUACUAUGGUAAACCAAACUGAACUAAACCCAUGGAAUGGUAGAAUGUCCACUGUGUCAUACAGGCCUAGCAGAUUCGUAUUCUUUUUUGGUUGGUGCAUUAUUAUUAGAUAAGAAAAAGAAAAAGGCCACCAAACUUUUAAAAAAUAGGAUUAGGAUAAAGGAUUGGCUAACUUCUUUCCAAUGAUGAUGAUGAUAAAUGAUUGAGGAAGCUAACCAAAGCCUUUACGGCCCCCAUUGACAUUUGUAGUGUUUGAUAAGCUGGAUGAGUUGUAUUCUAUGCUUGAUUUAUGUCCAUGCGGGUAACUUGUGUACUAAGUUAAUGUAUCUUCCCAUACGACCCUUAACCCAGAAUCAAACUAGCUAAGUCGGUUGGAAUGGUUGGAUUGGAAACCGGUCAGGAAUAGAGAGUUAGACUGGUUGAGCCGAUUGAAUUGGGCUUUUAUUUUUUUACUGAUUUUUUUAUUUAGUUAAUAAUUUAUUCAAUUGAAUAAGACAAAUUAGUUAGACUAGGAAUAGGUGGUAUAAU